rnacentral:lncRNA from 1 species
AUCGAUGCGUUUGGGGAGGAUUUGAAGGAUCCAUUUGUAGAUGCUCUAAAAGGUUGGUAUUGGUAUUUCUCAGAUUAACUUGGUGUUUCGUUCAAAUUCAAACUAAAUUUUGAAACAAUCAAAGACAGAUGACGAGGUAGUAUCUUUUUCUUAGAACUAAUAUGAAAAUGCAGGAGUAUAUUUGAAGAAUUUUAAAAAGAAAGCGAGAAGAGAGAAAAAAGGCUAAAUCUUAGGGCCAAACUCAAAGCCCAUAAUAAUAUUUCAAGCCCAUCGGCUCGUACAGUUUCCCAACGGAUUUUCUAACUGAAGACGGCUCUGUUUCGCUGUUAAGAAAACACUCAUCUGGCAGCUUAGCACCAGGUACCAAAUGGGAGAAACGUGAUAUAGUGCUAAGCUCAAAUAAUACAUGUUGAAUUACAUUCAACCCAAGGAACCCGGUAACAAAACCAAGAUAAAUUGACUCUAACAACGAACGUACAGUUCAAUCCGGGGGUAACAGAACCCAGAUAAUUCAGCAUCUAUCCGUCAGACACACAGCUUCGAUAACUCAACUGAACAAGACGCAAAAAUGCCAUAUGUAGGGUAUAUAAGAGGGCACCUUCUCCACGUCUGAUUUUGGCAUGGUGGCACUCAUCUCUGACGGUGGGAAAACCAUUCACAACAGGCAGCCUCUCGAUGUUCAGAUCAGUCGUCCUCCGUGUCGUUUGCCUUCUGCUUCUUCCACUUAUAAGCAGCUUCCAGUAUCUUAAGGUUCGGCGCCAAAGUGACUUCAUCAGGGAAGAUAUAAUCAAUGUACUCCUCGUACCUGGUAGAGCAAAUGAUGUCAGUAUAUUUCUAAAUUUGUGGGAAGUAACCACAAAAGUAUUAUGUGAGAUAUUGUUAGCGCUAGUUGUUUUAUAUUGAUUUCUUAACAGAAUUUGGACAUGGCCACAGAGCAUGCUAAACGUGGCAAGCCACCAACUUCUGAAAAUACAGUAGUGCCAAGAAUAAAGAGCAGAGUAAAUAGCAUACGCAAUAUUGGAGCCAUCGUCUGUGGGGAGUGGUCUCUUCCUCUUGACUUUCCUUGGCGCCUUCUUCUGCACUAACGUGACAUCACCAAGAUCACCAAAGCUCAACUCUUUUUUGAGCCAUUCUUCCAGGAGCAUCGCUCUUUCUUCCUUUAGCUCUGCGGCAUUUGUCCUGAAGUAGUCGAAUGCCCUUUCAAAGACAGCUGACCACCAUAACAGAGCAAUGUCAGAUUUAGUGCACCAUGAAUCGCAAAAUGAACAUAAAAAAGAUUUACAGAUGCCCAAAGUAGGUUCUCUAGCUCGUUACUCACCCCGACACCUCCGGACCCGCUCGAGCUGCUGUUCCUGAUAACCAGCAUCAUUCUUAUUCUCCUCACUUUCAGCGUCUUCUCCCAAGCCAGCUGAGGCCUCGAAUUCAGCAAAGCUGAUCCAUACCUUCAAAUGCUUUGUUCUAUCAAGCAGUCUCUCAUAGAGUUCUCUUGCUCUAUCAAAUUCAUCUUCAUCAAUUUCAAACUGCAAGUACUCCUGUAAGUUCAAAAGGCAGAAGAGUUAGUAAGCAUCCCUAAUAACUAAAAUCACAAGUAGACCUGGAAGUAAAAGGCACUAAAAAUGAUUCAGUUAAGCAUAAGUCAUUUUUCUUAAAUGCGUCAUUUUUCUAGAUGUCUCAAAUGUAACAUUCACAUCUAGUACGUAUUUAACAAGGAUCAAUGCUGCAUCUUAUAUAGAUAAAAUCUCAGAAACAUUUCCUAAGAAUAAAAGGCCCAUGUUACACAAUGCAUUAUUUGGACAUAAUAUAUCAGAUGACAGCGCACUGGUUUUUUCUCUCUUAAAACUGUAGCUAAGAGAUCAAAAGCAUCCGGACUGGCUGUUAGCUUUAGUCGUUCGGCACUCUUCCUUCAUUCUCAUUCAACAAGGAGAAGUGUCUAAUCAAAAUCAAUGAUUGAGGCUCACGUAUAUUAUAUGAUGUCGUCCUGGAAUUGAACUAGCGUUUAUAUGGUCAAUCAAGUUCAAACAAUUCGGCUCUGCAAGAUCAAUCAGAUAUCAAGUAAGAGAUAGGUGCUUCCUAUUAGUUAUAGACUGCUUCUGUGACAAGUGGAUCCCUUUAGGUUUAGUUGUUAAUUGUACUAUUCUCUUCAAUCAUUAAAUCUUCCGUAUUCCUAUUGGGGUCAGUGGUCUUCACAACUCACUGAGUCUGGAUUCGUUCCAUGGGUAUUAUUUGAUGAGUGAUCACCAAUCUCUUCCAGCAGCACAAGGAAGUGUAUGUUUUCAGUUGCUGACUGGACACAUAUAGUUCCAAUGGCUCUGCUUUGCCAGGGAGAAGACUGAAGAACACAAGUCAACAAAGUCCCACCUAGACCUAAAAAAAGGGGCCUCAACUAUGACGAUUCUGAGCAUUGUCCAACAGUUGUUUUUCACAAAUAAGUUAUUAACCAUUCAAGCAACUCUGAUGGAGCGCAGAGGCUGAAGAGACAUGGUUUAAAAAUGCUUUGGUAGUUACUAAGACCUGAUAAUUUUUAGUUGGCAGGAUAUAAUGCAAAAAGUAACAGAUCCAGAGUAAUCAACUAACACUCAUAAUGCCAUAAGUUGAAUAGUACAAAAAAAUAAAAAGGCUGGUCUUUGGUUUCCAGAACAUAAAAUGAAGCACAACCGCCUUUUCCCAUGAAAUAAUCUAGUUCAUGUAACCCUCAAAAUAGUGCAGAGCUCAACAACACAUCGAUCUCUGAUCUCUACUGUCUACUCUUUAGGUGGCGUGUCAGCAUGUUACAAAAUUAACCAUCAUAUCACAUCACAGCACACAUGAACAAAGGUGGCAAAUAAUACCAACACACUUCCAUGCAUAAACACUGAAAUUAUUUAGAUAUAUGAGCAGAUCAAAUAUUAUGAUAUAAUAAAUAACGUUAACACAGAACUUCAUGCGUGCUUAUUUGAGGAAUAAUGAUACAUAGGAAAAGUAUAUUCAAUAGUUCACUUACAAAACAUAAAAUGUGAAUCAAUUAAGAGGACAGCAAGGACAACAUACCUUCCAUAGAACUUCAGGCGUAUCAAGGGCUGGCUGAGCAAUAGCAAGCUCAUAUAUUGAUCGAGCACGAUCAGUCUCACUAAGGUUUUUUUCCAGUUCGGCAUACUUCCUCCAGGCAUAACAAUUUGCUGGAGACCAUUCGAUGUAUUUUUCAUAUAGAGUUCUACAGCGGUCAAAGUUGCCCAGAUAAAGCUCGAUCUCAAUGUACUUUUUGAAUAUUUUCCCCUUGGGCGCCAUACCUAUUGCAUUACCGAGAAUCUGCCGUGCAGCCUUUAUGUUCUUCUGUCUUAUCUCAAACUGCGCGGCCAUCAGCCACAGCUUAGCAAAAGUAAAUUUCUUGUGUGGAAUGAGUUUCAGACACUCCCUAUAGACCUCCCGGGUCCUUUCCAUGUCCUGUGCAUCAAGUUCCUCAUACAAAGCAUAGUUUAUCCAAAGGUAGAUAUACCUCUGCCAGUACCGCUUCUCUUCUGCAGGAGGAACAUUUGCGAUACUCCUCUCGUACACAUCCCUGAUCCUGUCCUUGUUCCCGACGCUCUCCUCCAGCCUGAUGUAAUCAAACCAUGAGUCGUAAUUGAGUGGGUUCUUCCUCACCUCAUCUUCAUAUUGGAAUCUCCGCUUGCCCACAAUGGCAUCCUCAAUCCCCUCACGGUCACCAAAUUGUUUCUCAAAUGCCAGGAACUUCCUGUAAAGAUCCUCAGCCCUGCCCUUUGGCACUCUGUCAAGCGCAUACUUGUAUAUCGCACGAGCACGCUCCACCUCCCGGCACUUUUCCUCGAACUCAGCAAAUGCUACAAACAGCACCUCCGCAUCUUCAUCAUCCACAAGCAGGUCCGCUGCACGCUCAUACACACGCCGUGCCCGCUCUACUUCUCCCCGUUUCAUCUCAAACUUGGCAUACCGGAUGAACGUGUCGGGCCGCGGGUGCUCGGCGACAAACCGCUCAUAGAUUGCCCUAGCGCGCUCAACCUCCCCAUAUCGCAGCUCAAACUUGAUGUAUGAGUUCCAGCCAGCGAUAUCAGGGCGCCACCCCAUCCAGCGCUCAAAGACCUGCCGAGCAUUGGCGACAGCACCAAGCAGCUCCUCCAUAUGGAUAUACUUGUACCACAGCUGGUCGAUGCGGGGUAGGAGCGAGACGGCACGGUCCCAGACGUUCCUGGCAUGGUUGACAUACCGGUUGCGCAUCUCGAACUCGGCAUACUUGAGCCACAGGGUGUGGUCGCGGUGGGCGACGUCCAGGGCGCGCUCGUAGACGGAGCGAGCCCGGGCGAAGUCCUUCUGCCCCUCCUCCCACUUGGCAUACUUGACCCACGCCGAGACGCUCCAGCGGACGCGGCGAAUGAGGUCCUCGAACCUCUUGCGCUCGCGGAGCCGGUAAUCCGCGAGCUCGUGGACGUCGGUUAUCUUCUGCUUGGGCGGGCGGAUCUCGGGCUCCUGCCGCUCCCGGGCCUCCCGGAGGAUCUGCUCGGCGGUAAUCUGGACCCCCGCGGGCGUCUUGUUCUUCACCCGCGUCGCGCGGGGGAGCUUGACCUCCGUGUCGCGCUUCGUGAGGAAGCCGAGGCUCGCGUCGGGGACCGGCGGAGGCUGCGCUUGGUCGGCGCCGCCGCCGCCGCGGGUGGUGAGCGCCAUGGCGGCCGGUGUUUGUGCUAGGGUUAGGGUUUUGGGAGGAGGAGAAUGAUGGGAAGGGGCAAGGGACGGGGUAAUUGGAUUUUAGGUCUGCUUGUACGCGCGGACGGCGGCGCGUCGGAACUCGACGCCGGAGUGGGGCGGAGGAGGGCGAGGAGAUGGGGCGGAGGAAGGCGGCGCGAGGGGGCGGGGCAGAUCGAGCGAGGCCGAGCGGCUCGGCUCGAUUUGGGGUUCGGUCUUUUUGCUGGAUGAGGGGUUAUCUGUAAAACGUAGUUUAAGUGCUCGUGUUGGAAUAUUUAUCACGAGGGGGUUAAUACUUAAUGCUGAUAUCGAUAUUACUCGAAUACCGCCUAAAAAAAUACUAAUCGAGCACGCGCGAAACACACACCGUAGGAACCAAACCCAAAACGAAUGAGUUCAAAAAUAAAAAAUCCAAAACAAAUGUCUACUCAAAUUGGCCAAGUUCAAGUAUAUUUGAGUUAAAAAUAUUUGUGAAAUUUGUAGUAUUAUGUCCAUCCCCGUCAUCUUCUAGACCCUUCGCAAUGCAGUGACAAUCGUAAAAAAAUACCAUCAUAAAAAAAAAUACAAGCAUGUAAAUUGAAACUACGCACAUCUCGUUCUUUCCGUUCCGCCAACACUUCGUUCUCUAUCAAGUUUAUUGGCCUCUCCCUCGAGGAUUCUAGUAAGUACUCCCUAAUGUUUAGUAGUUUUUUAGCUUGUUUUCGUUUCUACAUGUCACUCACUCGGUGUGCUCCUUCGUGGCUACCCUCGACUCUGAGGUUACCCUAGGUGUCAGUUUAGUAUCAAUUUGUUUCUAAAAGUGUGCUUUGCAAAUAACUUUCAAUGUAAUUUUGUGCUAAACAAGUCUUGUACUCUUCCACCCAUUUAAGUUGGCAUUAGGGUGUGAAGUGAGAUAAUUAUACCUACGGUCCUCGUACUCUCCGGCAUGUAACACAAUGGUCUCGAGACUUGCGGAAUGCUCCAAUACGGUCCUCAAAUACGAGGAUACGCUCCAAUACAGUCCUGGCUACGUCUCACUCUACGCCUCGCGCCCAGCCAGGUGCCACGUCAGUGUACAGUAGAUGUGUGGGCCCCAUGUCAGCAUAGGAGAGAGAAAAAAAGGAAAAAUAAAAUGCUACGCCGAGGAUCGAACCCGAGACCUCUGCGUAAGAGAGCAGCCGAGCUAGCCACCAGGCCGACAUGUCAAUAAGUUAAGAACCAAUUGGAGCAAUUACACAUAUCGCUCGCUUAUAACAGGGCCGGCCCAGUAGCGUAUCUCUUCUUCUUUUUUCUCGAAUCUUCAAGCGAUUUUCCUGUGCAUUUCCUACCGGUUUUCUUUUUAUUUUUCCCCAGGUUUAUGUUUAUUUUCCCCAUAUAAAAAUACAAUAAUUAUAAAUAUACAAUUAUUGUGUAUUUUAAAUCUUUAUUCUAUUUUCAUUAUUGUGUGCCUUGAAGACAUAAACAUUAGCUUUUUCUAAAAUUUAUAUGGAUUUAAAUAAAAUAAAUUAUAAAAAAAUUAUGUAUCUUCAUUCAUGACCACAAACACGCAUUAUUUUGUAUCCUCAUUGUAUUAAAAUACAUAAUAAUUUUAAAAAUUAACAAAGUAUAUUUUGAAUAAUGUUCAGCAUGGUUUUAGAAAAUGGUUAUCAUUUUGCCCUAUUAUAUGCCCAAUGAACGGUUUUCUUUUUAUCUUUUCUAGUUAAAUAUUUGUGUAUUUUAAAUAUACAAUGAAGAUACACAAUAAUUGCGCGUGUUUGUGGUCCUGAAUGAAGAUACAUAAAUUUUCUGACAUUUUUUUAAAUCCACAUAAAUUUUGGAAAAAGUUCAUGUUUACGUCUUCAAGGUACAAAUUAAUGAAAAUAGAAUAAAUAUUUAAAAUACACAAUAACUGUAUUCUUUUUUUAUGGAAAAAAUGAAAUUUAAAAAUAGAAAGAAAAAAUAAACACGAACUUGGUAAAAAAAAGGAUAGAAUAUGCAUCAGGAAAAUCGCUUGAAGAUUAAAAAAAAGGGUACGGUAUGCUACUAGGCCAGACCAAUUAUAUGAAAAUAAAUUAAUGAUUUAAAAUACACAUAAAUUGUAUAUUAAUAAUGAUUACAUUUUUUAUAUGGGAAAAUUAAACAUAAACCUGGGUAAAAAUAAAAAGGAAACCGGUAGGCAACGUACAGGAAAAUCGCUUGAAGAUUCGAGAAAAAAGUAGAAGAGAUACGCUACGCUACUGGGCCGGGCCAGUAUGUGCGCAGGCGGAAGCUAGCGAUAUAUGGAACUGCUUUAUAUAGCUUCCUAGCUGAUUCCAUUAACAUGAUGGACAGUUUCGCCUUGUGGCCAGCUCGUCUGUUCGCUUUUCUGGAGGUCUCAGGUUCGAUCCUCCGCCUAGCAUUUUAUUUUUCCUUGUUUUUCUCUCUCCUAUGCUGACAUGGGGCCCCACACAUCUACUGUACACUGACGUGGCACCUGGUUGGGCGCGAGGCGUAGAGUGAGACGUAAUCAGGACCAUAUUGGAGCGUAUCCUCGUAUUUGAGAACCGUAGUGAAGCAUUUCGCGAGUUCCGGGACCGUUGUGUUACAUGCCGGAGAGUAUGAGGACCGUAGGUGUAAUUAUCUCGUGUGAAGUCUAGAUCUUUGCCGAAAGUUCGAGGUCUCGCGUUUUCUUCUUCUCAGUGAGCUCAUCUACAAGCACUAGAUCCUAUUCUUUCCGAUGUCGGGGCGAGGUGGUUUGGUGCGUGCAUUUAUCUUCUUCUUCCUAGCACUACUCUCUUCCAUAUUUCGUUUUCUAUUUUCUUUUUCUCAUCCGAGGGAGGCCACAUCCUCGCUUGUAGUUCUUCUUCAGUAAGUUGAUAUUUCUCCUUUCAAUCUACACGGAUGCCAUUUAGCAAAGACAUCUUAAUCAUUAACAAACCGUCAAUUAUUAAUGUACAAAUCAGAAGAAGCCGUACGAGUUAAAUACACGAUCAAGUGAAAGCUAACUUGUAUUCAUACUACAAUUUUAAAUUUAUAUAUGCACCUUCAUCUCCUUUACUAUUGACUGUACCCAUGUGUCUUGUCAAUGAAAGCCAAGAAUACUUGAGCUUCCAAAGAAAUAAAAUUUGCCCAAAACAAGCAUUGAUAAAUGACAUGCUUUCAACGCCUCCCUCUAAAUGUUGGUUGUUUCACCAACCUCAAAGUGAAAUGUAACUGUGGGGGUGUAUCAUUAGGAUCUCAUUCAAGUCUACUUUAAAACCAACUAUCAUUAUAUCGUUUGGAGUUGUAGCAAAAGUAAUUGCCAAUUUGGUGGGAGGUGUACAUGCUCUAAAGAGUUGUGCGAGAAUUUGACAAGCUUUUCUAAGAAUGCUCUCUAAGUUGACUAUGUUACAAUCCCAAGGAAGCCAUCGAUUACCUUAAGUCUUCAUGAUCGUUUUCACACCUCAUCAGAUUCAAAAAUUAGUUUGUUGUCACUCAUAUCUAAGGAUGGAUGUACCUAGUAUAAAUAGAAUAGUGCUCUCAUUCGGAUAGAUAUCUUGGCAGUCAGAUUUCAGAGGCAAAGAAAUAGACCCAUCUUGAGAUUGAAAAGUUUUUUAUUUGUCGUUACUAUUGAUGUUGCACCUAAUAUGUACUAUAAGAACAUGGUGUUGUUAUGUGGGAUGGUUUCUCGUUGUUCCUGUGGACUUCACCUAGUUUGUGAUUGACGACUUCGAUGUGAUUGUGUGGUCUAGUUCACAGAUUAUGGAUAUAUGAUUUUCUCGGAUUGCAGGCCACGAUCGACAUCCACAUUGCCGGGGUAGAUUCCCUUGUUUAUUCCAGCCAUACACAACACCAACACUUGAUCCUAUGCGGUGAAGACCAAACCACCCCCUUGUGCAUAUCUUUCAUAAAGCCGGUAAUAAUCACCCCUCCACGCGGCUCUUCAAAGCAUGUAAUUUCCUGCAAAACAUGGAGUGUUGCCUUGCUCUUGAUUUGGAGGUGUUUGCCUUCAUUAAUGGUUCCUUCGACUGGCUCAUGGCGUGCUCGUCUCCACCACCUACUAUGACGAUGAAUAGUGCUUCCUCCUAGCUGCUACCUCUUGAGCACUGCGUUGGUUUUCCCUUGAAGAGGAAAGAGUGAUGCAGUAAACUAGCGUAAGUAUUUCCCUCAGUUUUUGAGAAUCAAGGUAUCAAUCCAGUAGGAGAUCACGCUCGAGUCCCACGCACCUACACAAACAAAUAAGAAUCUCACAACCAACGCGAUAAAGGGUUGUCAAUCCCUUCACGGUCACUUACGAGAGUGAGAUCUGAUAGAUAUGAUAAGAUAAUAUUUUUGGUAUUUUUAUGAUAAGGAAAAAUAAAGAUGCAAAGUAAAAUAAACGGCAAUAGAAAUAGCUAAGUGUUGGAAGAUUAAUAUGAUGGAAGAUAGACCCGGGGGGCAUAGGUUUUGCCGUGGUUUUGUCACGACAAAUGUCCUAGUGAAAGGAUUUAGUCGUGGAGCCAUCGCGACGGGUUAGCUUAAAGGGGUUAAAGCGGACAAGGGAUGCAAGGAAUUAUACUGGUUCGGCCCCUUACGACGAAGGUAAAAGCUUGUGUCAGGUUGUGAUGGAAUUGCUAGGGUUUAGAUGACCAGGGAGCGAAUCCGCUUUGCCUGGCUCUCGAGUUAUUGUUGUAUGUCCCUAAACCGCCACCGGGUCCUCUCUUUAUAUACACAGGUCGACGCUUGGCGGUUUACAAAAUCCCAAGGCCGGUUCAUACACGUGCCCGACUCAGUUUCUACCUUUCCUUGCCUUACAACAUAAGUUACAUAUCAUAUGGCAGUUUAUGUCUACGGGCCCUAAUCCGCCUUUGGGCCCUGGGCCUUCAUGUUAGAUCUCCUCUGUAAAGUGCCAUACUUAUUGUCUUCAUGGGCUUCAAACAUGACUGGUUCAUUAUGGGCAUAACCCGGCCCCUCAUGGCCGGUUUAUACUUAAUAGUAGUAUCCCCAACAUUAGGCCCCAGAUUGAUUUAAACUUGUUCAUGUCAAUUUUCAACACUUAGAAAAUUCCCCUUUUAGCACCUUGGCAUAUCCUUGUAAUCCGCCGCGACGUCAUCUUCCAAGAUUGUAAGAAACCGCCAUGACGUCACCUGUUAUUAAAAAUUGUAUGUCUCACCUUCAUUAAUGAGCCUCCGACAACCGAGGCGUCAGCUCUAUCACAGAUCCAAUUUUUUAGGCUCCUCGAUUUUUGCGCCUGUCACUUAUCCCUUCACCUUAUAAAUAAGACUGGGGUCCUUUUCAUUUUCCCCUUUCGUGCCUCCUUGCGUUGACCUCACCCUCGCGCGCAGCCACCGUCGUCAAGCUCCGCCCUCGAGCUCAUCUCCAGCCGCUGCAUCAACCUGAUCGUUCUAGAGAAACGCGGCGCGCCUCCGCUGCUUCAACAGCCUCAGUGAGUUCAUCUUCCUUUCCUCUGUAGAUUCGCUAGGGUUCUCACGAGUUCAUAGAAGCUUCUUGGUGUUCUACCCUUGUUCUUCAUUAGAUCCUAUGUGAUAGACUUAAAACUUGAUGUUCUCCCGCGUGGUAGCAAUGAAAGUCCUCACUUUGCCUAUCAAACCAUGCCUUGUAUGUAUAAAAACCGAUCUGGACCUUUGCGAACUGCUCAAGCACCAACUUUUUAGGUCUAAUUCUUUUCCUUUUCCUGACACAUGGUAGAUCCAAAAUUCCAAUGUGAAACUGUGAAACUGCGAAACUUGUUUUUGCUCACUUAGUCAUUUUUGUUUUAGAUCUGUACUUUCAUUGUCUGAGUAGGCGGUUUAUCCUUUAGAAAAUAGUCUUCCAUAUGCCAUUAGUCCCCUUGUAAACUGCCAAGCGCUUUACCAUUUAUGAUAGCAUCAACCUCCGGUUUAACAAUUUUGCAUGCUUGAAUACCCUUUCCUUAACCUGCUACACUUUAUGCUUGCCAACCAUGAGUCUUAAACCGGCAUCAAUCUUUUUCCAGCUCUUCAUUCGAAAUGGCCAAACAAUUUUAUGCGUGUAACUGGGUCCCUUCCCGGGUUACUGAAGAGCAACUAGAUGGAUGCGUCAGAACUGGCGCUUUACCAAAACAAAGCGAAAUCCAUUGGCGAGUUCCUGGUCCAGAAAAUCCUCCUACCCCCAAGGAUGGCUAGGUGGUAGUAUUUGUUGAUCAUAUGGGACGUGGUUUUAAACCGCCCGGAUCCAAGUUUUUCCGUGAUGUGCUUGCGAGCUUCCAGAUCCACCCUCGAGAUAUUGGACCCAACUCUGUGUCCAAUAUUUGCGACUUUCAAGUGUUUUGUGAGGCCUAUCUGCAAGAAGAGUCAACUGUUGAAUUGUUCUGGGAUUUUUUCUAUUUGAACCAUCGUACUGAAUUUGUAGACGGGCCCAACACUGAACUUGGCGGCGUCUCCAUUCAGAAAAGGAAGGACGUCAGCUUACCUUAUGCCAAACUUCAUAGUCAUCCUAAGGAUUGGAACCAGACUUGGUUCUACUGUAAGGAUACUUCCCGUGAAGAUGAGAACCCUCUACUGGGUUAUCAUGCUCACCGGCUUACCAACACACAUCCAUUUUCACAACGGUUGACUGCCAAGGAACGAGACACAUAUGCACCACAACUCGCCAAGCUCAGACCUUUCAUGGCCAAUGGUUUGACAAGAGUUGACCUUGUUCGUUGCUGGAUAUCUUGGAGUAUUUUACCGUUAAGCCGUCACCCCGGUUUAAUGUGUGAGUACACAAGGAGCUCAAAAGAUCCUCAACGACAUAUUGAUAUACAGCUGACACAGGCUGAAGUUACUGAGUCUGUUAAGAAAAUACUGAAUGAACCGGAAGUUGUCUGUAGCAAGACCGGGUUAAGUCCCUUCUAUACCUUGAACAAACCGCGAGCUGUAAGAAUUGCCUCUCUCCUGCUUGUACUUGAUAUUCUUAACUAUGUAAUCUUUUAUAUCCUCUAUCAAUCUUUUAACAGGGUGAUGACUCAUUUUGGAAGAAGAAGCCACAGGAUAAACCGGCCAAGACCCCUCGACCUAAGACCAAGGUUGUUAAGAAGUCUGCAAAGAAAAAGGCAUCUGAAUCCACCGGGUUGAACCUCGAUGAUGACCUUGAUGAUCCGGACGCAGAGGUAGAACUUGACUCUCUUGGUUCAUUUUUCAUACACCUCAUUGACAAUGAUUAUUAUCAGGAUGAUGCUGAAGGCAACCAAGCUGAUGACGCAGAGGUAAUUAUCCUUUCCUCCAGUUCAGACCCUCUGCCAACACAAAAAAUCUGUCAAGCAAUCCGGAAAGUAAAAUUUUCUCACCCCUAGCUCACUUGGACCCACACUUUCUUUUGAAGAAGUAGCAACACGAAGCUCGCUGCACAACCCGGCACAGCGGCCAAGUAGUCACUUCAGCUGGUUUACCGAACACUCCGGUUUGGAAACGUCGAUCUGAGGUCUCACACACUUCCGAUACUUCAUAUCCCAAGGCGGGUUAUUUUCAACAACCUCUUAAUCCAUCCGAUUCAAAUUAUCAGGGAACGCCUCAUUCAUCAUCUGGCGAGUCAACGACCACACAGUUUCCUCCUCUUAAGACUGUUCCUGGGUAAAUACUUUAAACUUACUCCUUUUGACGCUUUAUAUUUGCGCGCUAUACUAACCUUUAUGUCUUUUCCUUUCAAAGCCAAGGCCAGACCCAACAAGAAGGCUCGGGUAAAUAAGCCGUCUGAUGACAAUGUGUUUAUUGAACCGGAGAGAACUCCAGAACCGGAAGGAACAAAUGCUGACGCUGUGCUUGAUGAUCCGCCACCUCAAGAUCAUGACUUUCUUGCUGAACAAGCAGAUGCUGACACAACAGCCCAUGCUGACAAACUGACCAGCCCGGCCCGAACUGAUGAUAAACCGUCCAACUAAGGUUGCUGAUAAAUCGUCAACUCUAGUAAAGGCUGCUGGUGACAAGGAAGAUGAUAUUAUAAUUACCGGCAUUGGCCACACCACCCCUAGCAAUCCUGUUGCGUUAUCAAAGCAUAGUGCCAAGGAGGAACUUUUUGCUAUGGGCAAAGGCAAGUGGAGCACAGACUUGUCAAGCUACACCCACCUCAACGCCCAAGAACUUCAUUCUGGUUUUUUAAACCGUCUGUACACAAACCGCGACUAUGAAGCCGGUUUAGUGAAUCUGAUGAAGGAGCGAUAUGAGGUAACUACAUAGCUGUUUCUCUCUUAUGUCCAAUUUCAAGUACCAACUCCAGUAGCCCCCAAGGGCCGAUUUAUGAUGUCAAUCUAAACCGGGACUUUGCAAUAUCUCAACUCUGCAUGCUUAUCCUCCAAGGGCCGGUUUAUCUUUUUAAGAUGAACCGGUACUUUAACAUUGCAAUCUUUUAACUUUCGCGUGUGUAGUCCCCAAGGGCCGGUUUAUCUUUCCAAGAUGAACCGGGACUUUGACCAAUGUUACUUUGAGCAAACAUACAUUAGCCCCCAAGUGUCAAGAAUAAUACUUGUAUUGUGCUUGGGACUUGUAAAAAAAUUCUAAUAAUCAAGAAAAUACGCAUUAGCCCCCAAGUGCCAAGUGUAUAACUUGUUAUGUGCUUGGUACUUCCAAUAUUCACUGCCAUCUUAUAAUAUGUCUCUAUCCUAUAUGCUGAGCUGAACAAAAAGGAAGCCCAAACCAUUGACCUUCAAGAAAAUAUCAAAUCUCAGCAAGCAGAAACCUCCAAAGCCAAAGAAGAACUGACUAGUGCCUUAGCAACCAUGGAGAAGCUGAAGGAAACUUUGAAGAAGGAACAGGCGGAUUGGGGCAUAGAGAGAACCGCACUGCAAAAGAAAGCUGAAGACGCAGAAGCAACCCUUAAACCGGGGGUCGAAGAGCUGACCGGCUUAAAGCGGCAGAUAAAUGCCAUGACCCCUGCUGUGUUUGGUAAGUAUCCUCAUCUGAAGUUUUUUUAUCAAUAUACAUUAUCUCAUUAGUUACCGGUUUACUGAUGCUUGCAAUGACACAGGAACUCGCAUUACCCAUCUGGGCUCUGCCAUGCGGAUGAAGCUGAAGGCUGCCUAUACUCUGAUAGAGCAGUUAUAUUCCAGAGCUCAAAGGGCCAUCUGCACUGCUGCUCAUAACAAACUGCCUCCAACUUUAAUAAAGGAAACCAUUGAGAAACUAUCAAUGUUUCCUGCCCGGUUGGAUGAGCUAAAAAGAUCGGCUGCAAGGUCAGGUGCGCUGACUGCCCUAAUCUGGGCUAAGGCAUGGAUACCGGAUCUUAAAUCGUCGGAUAUAGGUAGCGGCUAUCUUGGCGUAAAGGAGGACGGUUCAGAGUUUAACAAUGACGACCUUCGAAGGUUGACAAGGGAAAUGCACCCCUUAGCAAGCAAAUUGGCUGAGGAAACCGAUCUCUCUCACUAUCAGCCGGUUUAUGAUUCUGAUCAGAAAAGAUAUCCUGCAUCAACACAUGAUGUAGAAGAUCUUAUUCCGCAAUCCGUAAGCACACCUAUGCCCCUAAUGUUGACCCCUCAAACCUUAUAAGUGAUGAAGCUGUGUUCCAAGACUUAACUGGAAUCGAUUGGGCAACCAUUGACUUCCAGCCACUAGGUAGAGAGGAGGAAGAUGCACCAGUGCAGGACGAUCCACAGCCUUCAACUCAGCGUGGUGACGAGUCAUGAUCCGGAGGCCGGUUUAGCCUUCUACGUACUGCCACACUUGCUGAAAACAAUUAUUCUUUUUGGGCAUAAAAGCGCCUUGUAAUAGGCUAGUUCAAAAAACUUGGUCUGCUAUGCCAUCGUGCAUACUUAUUUUGCCUGAUACUGUGAAUCCACCAUGCUUUAGGAUAUAGUAUGUUCAUAAUCUGUAGUGGUAUUACUCAAAUUGUUCCUGCAUACAAGAAGUUUGAAAGUGUCCUGGCGGUUUACCGCUGGACGGGUCAUGAUGCCCAAAUAUAUAGUCGGGGUUUAUAACCAAGGCUGUACUUUGAAAAUAAUCAAAUAUGAAAGAGAUGGUACAUGUGAUAUUGAAUCACACUGUUGGUUGACCAACUUUUGUAUAUUUAGGGUGAUAACCCCAAUCUUGAGUAUUGAUAACUCCUUCCAUGUUCUGCCGGUUUAUAAUAAAACCGUACCGGAUUAUAAUAAACAUAGGUGUAUCCACAUAUAAUAGUGGUGACUUGUAGUCAAAACCAGACCGGGUCAAUAAACGCCGAAUUAUAAUUGAUCAUGUACUGAUAACUUAUCGUUGAAAGCCAACCCGGGUCAAUGAACGCCUGUUUAUCAUAAAAUAUUUAAAUCUCACCAAAGGAGAAAAAACUUAUCAAAUAAAAACACAAAAAGAACAUGCAAGGCUUUUCAUGGGCUGCCAGGCCCUAAAUCGAGGCUUUUCAUGGGCUGCCAGGCCACUGAGUUAAACCAUUUUUCGAAGCCUUUUAAGAUGGACCUCACAUUAACCAAUCGUCGUUUUAACUUUGACAAGUUCAGGGUCUAUGAGAUUGACUUGUCAAACGUUCGGCGGGUCAUACCAGGAUUGCCUGGAUGGAGUGGCUUAAUUAAAGAGGCAGGAUAACCCGAGGUUUUAGGUGAAUACACCUGGCUUCCAAGCCUGGCUUGAUAGCCUAUUGCAAGGGUGUAAGCUCUUUGUUCUUUGAGAAGCAAAGAGCCCCCAAGCAACAUUUGAGCUGUGCUCGGUGAGUGCCUAUGUUUGAGUUGUGCUGUUGCAACACUCUCUUUGGCCCCACGUGAUUUCCUUUUGGCCUUAAGCCGAUCAAGAGGUGUAGCCAUGGUUCAAAUACAACCAAGCCCCCAAGUGAUUUCCCUAAUGACCUUAUGCCAAUCAAGAGGUGUAGCUAUGGUUCGAAUACGACCAAGCCCCCUAGUGAUUUCCUUUGAUAUAUGUGGCUUUAUAAGCCGGAUCAAUGGAAAAUAGAACUCCGCUUUAUAAAUAGAAGCCCCCAUGUAACCACUCAUGAUGUAAUAAAAACAACAGAGACCCCACUUUAGCUGAGGCUCCGGUUUAUUAUAUUGAUCAUAAUAUAUACAUUGUCAUAAAUAUGUACAUAAGAAUAGCCUGUGGCUCAAGUAUAGUAAGGCCGAAGAUGAGCUAUAUUCCACGGCCAUUGGAUCUCCUCCUCCGAUUUGCGUGAGUCUUUGUGCUCUCGAACAUCGAUAAGGUAGUAUGAUCCGUUGUGCAGAUUUUUGCUGACCACAAAAGGUCCUUCCCAAGGUGGGGACAACUUGUGCAUAUCAGUCUGAUCCUGGAUGAGCCGGAGCACCAGAUCACCUUCUUGAAAAGUUCUGGUUUUAACCCGGCGACUGUGAUAACAUCGUAGGUCUUGCUGGUAAAUCGCCGAACGAGCCGCUGCAAUAUCACGCUCCUCAUCUGAUAGGUCUAGUGAAUCCCGACGUGCUUUCUCAUUAUCAGCUUCAACAUAAGCCGCCACACGGGGCGAGUCAUGACGGAUGUCACUAGGGAGAACCGCCUCUGCUCCGUAAACCAUGAAGAAAGGCGUGUAACCCGUAGAUCUAUUCGGUAUGGUGUUGAUACUCCAUAACACGGAAGGUAACUCCUCCACCCAACAAAACGACGUCCACUUUGAAGGAACCAUAAGCCGAGGCUUGAUGCCUCUCAAAAUCUCUUGAUUAGCUCUCUCUGCUUGAUCAUUAGAUUGGGGGUGAGCCACUGAUGACACGUCAAGCUGGAUGUGCUCACGUUGACAAAAUUCUUCCAUAGCACCAUUGGACAUAUUAGUAGCAUUAUCAGUUAUGAUGCUGUGUGGAAAACCAAAAUGAAAGAUCACAUUUUUGAUGAAUUAAACCGCCGUGGCUUCAUCACACUUACUGACUGGCUCUGCCUCUACCCACUUGGUGAAUUUAUCAACCGCCACCAGUAGGUGGGUCUUCUUGUCCUUGGACCUCUUAAAGGGCCCAACCAUAUCCAUCCCCCAAGUUGCAAACGGCCAAGUGGUUGGAAUCAUCCUUAAUUCUUGAGCCGGAACAUGAGCGCGCGCGGAGUGCAAACUUCUGACAACCGUCACACCUCUUUACCAAAUCCUUAGUAUCAGCAUGAGCCGUCAACCAAUAGAAGCGUGACGAAAGGCUUUAGCCACCAAGGAUUUUGAUCUGGCGUGGUGACCACAAUCUCCUUCGUGGAUCUCACGCAAAAUCUCACAGCCUUCGUGAGGAGACACACAACGCUGAAACGCCCCUGUCACACUGCAAUGAUGCAACUCCCCAUUGAUAAUGGUCAUUGACUUAGAUCGCCGGAUUAUCUGUUAGGCCAAAGUUUCAUCCUCCGGUAACUCGCCCCGGUUCAUAUACACCAAGUAUGGGACCGUCCAAUCGGGACAGCAUGAAGAGUUGCCACUAACUAAGCCUUCGGGUCAGGAACAGCCAAAUCCUCCUCCGUAGGUAACUUGACCGACGGAUUAUGUAGCACAUCCAAAAAGACAUUGGGCGGCACCGGUUUACGUUGAGAGCCUAAGCGACUUAAAGCGUCCGCCGCUUCAUUCUUUCGCCGGUCUAUAUGGUCAACCUGAUAACCCUUGAAAUUAUCUGCCACUAUGUCUACCUCUCGUUGAUACGCUGCCAUGAGUGGAUCCUUGGAAUCCCAAGUGCCAGACACCUGUUGAGCUACCAGGUCCGAGUCACCAAAGCACUUAACCCGGCUUAAAUUCAUCUCCUUAGCCAUCCGAAGACCAUGGAGCAAGGCCGCAUAUUCAGGUGCAUUGUUAGUUCAAGGGAACAUUAAAUGGAGAACAUAACAAAACUUAUCACCUCGUGGGGAAGUUAAUAUGACUCCAGCCCCCGAGCCCUCCAACUGUGUGGACCCCUCAAAAUGAAUCGUCCAAUAAGUGUUAUCUGGCUUUUCCUCCGGUGCCUUCAGCUCUGUCCAGUCGUUGAUGAAAUCCACAAGUGCUUGGGACUUGAUUGUUAUACGAGGUAUAUAUUUUAAACCGUGAGGCCCAAGCUCAAUAGCCCACUUGGCGACCCAGCCAGUUGCUUCCCUGUUUUGAAUGAUAUCCCCCAAGGGGGCAGAACUUGCCACUGUGAUAGGAUGACCUUGAAAAUAAUGCUUGAGCUUCCGGCUUGCCAUGAAAACCCUAUACACAAGUUUUUGCCAAUGUGGGUACCUCUGCUUGGACUCAAUAAGCACCUCACUGAUGUAAUAAACCGGUCGUUGAACCGAAUACUCCUUUCCGGCCUCCUUGCGCUCCACAACAAUAGCCACACUAACAGCCCGGGCAUUGGCAACCACAUAUAACAAUAGGGGCUCUUUAUCAAUAGGAGCAGCAAGGAUUGGCGGUUCAGCUAGCUGCUGCUUUAAACUCUCAAAGGCUUCAUUGGCAGCAUCACUCCAGAUGAAAUGGUGUGUUUUCUUCAUCAUCUAAUACAGAGGGAUUGCCUUUUCUCCCAAACGGCUGAUAAACCGGCUCAAUGCUGCAAUACGACCCGCCAGGCGCUGAACAUCGUUAAUACACGCCGGCUUAGCUAGAGACGUAAUAGCCUUGAUCUUCUCCGGAUGAGCUUCAAUGCCCCUGUUAGACACCAGAAAACCCAAGAGCUUGUCUGCCGGUACACCAAAGACACAUUUGGCCAGAUUAAGCAUCAUCUUAUAAACCCGGAGGUUAUUAAAAGUCUCCUUCAAGUCAUCUAUCAAUGUUUCCUCCUUUCUGGACUUCACCACAAUAUCAUCCACAUAAGCAUGAACAUUGCGCCCAAUCUGUUUAUGAAGACAAUUCUGUACACAACGCUGAUAAGUCGCCUGGGCACUGUUAAGCCCAAAAGGCAUAGAUACAUAGCAGAAGGCUCCAAAGGGAGUUAUAAAAGUUGUCUUCUCCUGGUCCUUAACUGCCAUUUUGAUUUGAUGAUAACCAGAAUAAGCAUCCAGGAAACACAAACGGUCACAGCUCGCCGUAGCAUCAAUGAUUUGAUCAAUACGAGGGAGAGCAAAAGGAUCAGCUGGACAAGCCUUGUUCAAAUCCGUGUACUCCACACACAUACGCCAAGUGCCAUUCUUCUUAAGUACCAACACCGAAUUAGCUAGCCACUCAGGGUGAAAGACCUCCACAAUAAACCCUGCUACCAAAAGUCGGGCUACCUCCUCACCAAUAGCCUUGCGCCUUUCUUCAUUGAAGCGGCGGAGAAACUGCCUGACCGGUUUAAACUUAGGAUCUAUAUUAAGAGUGUGCUCAGCGAGUUCCCUCGCUACACCUGGCAUAUCAUAAGGUUUCCAUGCAAAGAUGUCCCGGUUUUCACAUAUGAACUCGAUGAACGCACUUUCCUAUUUCGGAUCCAGGUUAGCGCCGAUGCUGAACUACCUGGAUGAAUCGCCAGGAACAAAGUCAACUAGCUUAGUCUCAGCCAAUUUAAACUUCAAAGCCUGAUCAUGCUCCGUAGUUGGCUUCUUCAGAGAAGUCAUAUCUGCCAGAUCAACAUUGUCUUUGUAGAACUUUAACUCCUCUGUUGCACAAACCGACUCAGCAUAGGCCGCAUCACCUUCUUCACAUUCCAAAGCAAUCUUCCGGCUCCCAUGCACUGUGAUGGUCCCCUUAUGACCCGGCAUCUUAAGCUGCAGAUAAACAUAACAGGGCCUGGCCAUGAACUUAGCAUAAGCCGGCCGUCCAAACAGGGCAUGAUAUGGGCUCUUGAUUUUCACCACUUCGAAAGUCAAUGUUUCUGACCUUGAAUCAUAAUCAUCUCCAAAGGCAACCUUUAGAGCUAUCUUACCAACUAGGUACGCCGAUUUACCAGGCACCACACCAUGAAAAACGGUGUUCGACGGUUUAAGAUUUUUAUCUGUCAACACCAUGCGACGGAACGUUUCAUUGUAAAGGAUAUUGAUACUGCUCCCUCCAUCCAUGAGUACCUUGGUGAACUUAUACCUGUUGGGGAACGUAGUAAUUUCAAAAAUUUCCUACGCACACGCAAGAUCAUGGUGAUGCAUAGCAACGAGAGAGGAGAGUGUUGUCAAUGUACCCUCGUAGACCGAAAGCGGAAGCGUUAGCACAACGCGGUUGAUGUAGUCAUACGUCUUCACGGCCCGACCGAUCAAGCACCAAAAACUACGGCACCUCCGAGUUCUAGCACACAUUCAGCUCGAUGACGAUCCCUGGACUCCGAUCCAGCAGAAUGUCGGGGAAGAGUUCUGUCAGCACGACGGCGUGGUGACGAUCUUGAUGUUCUACCGUCGCAGGGCUUCGCCUAAGUACCGCUACAAUAUUAUCGAGGAUUAUGGUGGGAGGGGGCACCGCACACGGCUAAGAGAUCAAUGAUCAAUUGUUGUGUCUUUGGGGUGCCCCCUGCACCCGUAUAUAAAGGAGCACGGGAGGAGGAGGCCGGCCCUAGGAGGGGGCGCGCCAAGUGUGGAGUCCUACUAGGACUCCCUAGUCCUAGUAGGAUUCCACCUCCCAUAUGGAAUAGGAAAAGAGGAAGGAAAAAGGAGAAGGAAGGAAGGGGGCGCCCCCCUUCCCUAGUCCAAUUCGGACCAGACCAAGGGGAGGGGUGCGGCCACCCUUGAGGCCCUUUUCCUUCUUUCCCGUAUGGCCCAAUAAGGCCCAAUAUGUAUUCCCGUAACUCUCCAGUACUCCGAAAAAUACCCGAAUCACUCGGAACCUUUCCAAUGUUCGAAUAUAGUCGUCCAAUAUAUCGAUCUUUACGUCUUGACCAUUUCGAGACUCCUCAUCAUGUCCCCGAUCUCAUCCGAGACUCCGAACUCCUUCGGUACAUCAAAACUCAUAAACUCAUAAUAUAACUGUCAUCGAAACCUUAAGCGUGCGGUGUUGGGGAACGUUGCAGAAAACAAAGAUUUUCCUACUCGUUUCACCAAGAUCAUCUAGGAGUUCAUCUAGCAACGAGUCAUUGGAUGCAUCUACAUACCUUUGUAGAUCGCGAGCGGAAGCAUUCAAAAGAACGGUGAUGAUGUAGUCGUACUCGACGUGAUCCAAAUCACCGAUGACCAGCGCCGAACGGACGGCACCUCCGCGUUCAACACACGUACGGGACGGGAGACGUCUCCUCCUUCUUGAUCCAGCAAGGGGGAAGGAGAGGUUGAUGAAGAUCCAGCAGCACGACGGCGUGGUGGUGGAUGCAGGGCGUCACAGCAGCAGGGCUUCGCCGAGACUACGAGGGAGAGACGUAACGGGGGGAGGUGGAGGCGCCAGGGGCUAGGGUGAAAUCCCUCCUCUCCCCCCCACUAUAUAUAGGGGUGCCAAGGGGGGGGCGCCAGCCCUAGUAGAUGGCAUCUACUAGGGGGGGCGGCGGCCAAGGGGAGGUUUCCCUCCCCCCCAAGGCACCUAGGGGUGCCUUCCACCACAUGGACUCUUCCAUGGUGGAAACCCUAGGCGCAUGGGCCUAUAGGGGCUGAUGCCCUUGGCCCAUCUAGGCCAAGGCGCACCCCCUACAGCCCAUGUGGCCCCCCGGGACAGGUGGCCCCACCCGGUGGACCCCCGGGAUCCUUCCGGUGGUCCCGGUACAAUACCCAUAAGCCCGAAACUUGUCCCGAUGCCCGAAAUAGCACUUCCUAUAUAUAAUUCUUUACCUCCGGACCAUUCCGGAACUCCUCGUGACGUCCGGGAUCUCAUCCGGGACUCCGAACAACAUUCGGGUUUCUGCAUAUACAUAUCUUCAUAACCCUAGCGUCACCGAACCUUAAGUGUGUAGACCCUACGGGUUCGGGAGACAAGCAGACAUGACCGAGACGACUCUCCGGUCAAUAACCAACAGCGGGAUCUGGAUACCCAUGUUGGCUCCCACAUGCUCCACGAUGAUCUCAUCGGAUGAACCACGAUGUCGAGGAUUUAAUCAAUCCCGUACGCUAUUCCCUUUGUCUAUCGAUAUGUUACUUGCCCGAUAUUCGAUCGUCGGUAUCCCAAUACCUCGUUCAAUCUCGUUACCGGCAAGUCACUUUACUCGUACCGUAAUGCAUGAUCCCGUGACCAGACACUUGGUCACUCUGAGCUCAUUAUGAUGAUGCAUUACCGAGUGGGCCCAGUGAUACCUCUCCGUCAUACGGAGUGACAAAUCCCAGUCUUGAUCCAUGUCACCCAACAGACACUUUCGGAGAUACCCGUAGUCUACCUUUAUAGUCACCCAGUUAUGUUGUGACGUUUGGCAUACCCAAAGCACUCCUACGGUAUCCGGGAGUUACACGAUCUCAUGGUCUAAGGAAAAGAUACUUGACAUUGGAAAACUCUAGCAAACGAACUAUACGAUCUUGUGCUAUGUUUAGGAUUGGGUCUUGUCCAUCACAUAAUUCUCCCAAUGAUGUGAUCUCGUUAUCAAUGACAUCCAGUGUCCAUAGUCAGGAAACCAUGACUAUCUGUUGAUCAACGAGCUAGUCAACUAGAGGCUCACUAGGGACAUGUCGGUGUCUGUUAUUCACACAUGUAUUACGAUUUCCGGAUAACACAAUUAUAGCAUGAAUAAAGACAAUUAUCAUGAACAAGGAAAUAUAAUAAUGCUUUUAUUAUUGCCUCUAGGGCAUAUUUCCAACAGUCUCCCACUUGCACUAGAGUCAAUAAUCUAGUUACAUUGUGAUGAAUCGAACACCCAUAGAAUUCCGGUGUUGAUCAUGUUUUGCUCUAGGGAGAGGUUUAGUCAACGGAUCUGCUAUAUUCAGGUCCGUAUGUACUUUACAAAUCUCUAUGUCUCCAUCUUGAACAUUUUCACGAAUGGAGUUGAAGCAACGCUUGAUGUGCCUUGUCUUCUUGUGAAACCUGGGCUCCUUGGCAAGUGCAAUAGCUCCAGUGUUGUCACAGAAGAGCUUGAUCGGCCCCGACGCAUUGGGUAUGACUCCUAGGUCGGUGAUGAACUCCUUCACCCAUAUUGCUUCAUGUGCUGCCUCCGAGGCUGCCAUGUACUCCGCUUCACAUGUAGAUCCCGCCACGACGCUUUGCUUGCAACUGCACCAGCUUACUGCCCCACCAUUCAAAAUAUACACGUAUCCGGUUUGUGACUUAGAGUCAUCCAGAUCUGUGUCGAAGCUAGCGUCGACGUAACCCUUUACGACGAGCUCUUCGUCACCUCCGUAAACGAGAAACAUUUCCUUAGUCCUUUUCAGGUACUUCAGGAUAUUCUUGACCGCUGUCCAGUGUUCCUUGCCGGGAUUACUUUGGUACCUUCCUACCAAACUGACGGCAAGGUUAACAUCAGGUCUGGUACACAGCAUGGCAUACAUAAUAGAACCUAUGGCUGAGGCAUAGGGGAUGACGCUCAUCUCUUCUAUAUCUUCUGCCGUGGUCGGACAUUGAGCUGAGCUCAAUUUCACACCUUGUAACACAGGCAAGAACCCCUUCUUGGAUUGAUCCAUAUUGAACUUCUUCAAUAUCUUAUCAAGGUAUGUGCUUUGUGAAAGACCUAUGAGGCGUCUUGAUCUAUCUCUAUAGAUUUUGAUGCCUAAUAUAUAAGCAGCUUCUCCAAGGUCCUUCAUUGAAAAACUUUUAUUCAAGUAGGCCUUGAUGCUGUCCAAGAGUUCUAUAUCAUUUCCCAUCAAAAGUAUGUCAUCUACAUAUAAUAUGAGAAAUGCUACAGAGCUCCCACUCACUUUCUUGUAAACGCAGGCUUCUCCAUAAGUCUGUGUAAACCCAAACGCUUUGAUCAUCUCAUCAAAGCGAAUGUUCCAACUCCGAGAUGCUUGCACCAGCCCAUAAAUUGAGCGUUGGAGCUUGCACACUUUGUCAGCAUUCUUAGGAUCGACAAAACCUUCUGGCUGUAUCAUAUACAAUUCUUCCUUAAGGAAACCAUUAAGGAAUGCCGUUUUGACAUCCAUUUGCCAUAUUUCGUAAUCAUAGAAUGCGGAAAUUGCUAACAUGAUUCGGACGGACUUCAGCUUCGCUACCGGUGAGAAAGUCUCAUCGUAGUCAACCCCUUGAACUUGUCGAUAACCCUUAGCGACAAGCCGAGCUUUAUAGAUGGUCACAUUACCAUCCGCGUCUGUCUUCCUCUUAAAGAUCCAUUUAUUUUCUAUGGCUCGCCGCUCAAUGGGCAAGUCAGUCAAAGUCCAUACUUUGUUUUCAUACAUGGAUCCUAUCUCGGAUUUCAUGGCUUCUAGCCAUUUGUCAGAAUCCGGGCCCGCCAUCGCUUCUUCAUAGUUCGAAGGUUCACCAUUGUCUAACAGCAUGAUUUCCAAGACAGGGUUGCCGUACCACUCUGGUGCGGAACGUGUCCUUGUGGACCUUCGAAUUUCAGUAGGGGCUUGAUCAGAAGUAUCUUGAUCAUUGUCAUUAACUUCCUCUCUAGUCGGUGCAGGCACCUCAGGAACAUUUUCUUGAGUUGCGCCAUUUUCCGGUUCAAGAGGUAAUACUUCAUCAAGCUCUACUUUCCUCCCACUUACUUCUUUCGAGAGAAACUCUUUCUCCAGAAAGGACCCAUUCUUGGCAACAAAGAUCUUGCCUUCGGAUCUGAGGUAGAAGGUGUACCCAAUAGUUUCUUUUGGGUAUCCUAUGAAGACGCAUUUUUCCGACUUGGGUUCGAGCUUUUCAGGUUGAAGUUUCUUGACAUAAGCAUCGCAUCCCCAAACUUUUAGAAACGACAGCUUAGGUUUCUUCCCAAACCAUAAUUCAUACGGUGUCGUCUCAACGGAUUUCGACGGAGCCCUAUUUAAAGUGAAUGCGUCAGUCUCUAAAGCAUAGCCCCAAAAGGAUAGCGGUAAAUCGGUAAGAGACAUCAUAGAUCGCACCAUAUCUAAUAGAGUGCGAUUACGACGUUCGGACACACCAUUACGCUGAGGUGUUCCAGGCGGCGUGAGUUGUGAAACUAUUCCACAUUUUCUUAAGUGUGUGCCAAACUCGUGACUCAAGUAUUCUCCUCCACGAUCUGAUCGUAGAAACUUGAUUUUCCUGUCACGUUGAUUUUCAACCUCACUCUGAAAUUCCUUGAAUUUUUCAAAGGUUUCAGACUUGUGUUUCAUUAAGUAGAUAUACCCAUACCUACUUAAAUCAUCAGUGAGGGUGAGAACAUAACGAUAGCCACCGCGAGCCUCAACACUCAUUGGACCGCACACAUCAGUAUGUAUGAUUUCCAAUAAGUCGGUUGCUCGCUCCAUUGUUCCUGAGAACGGAGUCUUGGUCAUUUUACCCAUAAGGCAUGGUUCGCAUGUGUCAAAUGAUUCAUAAUCAAGAGACUCUAAAAGUCCAUCAGCAUGGAGCUUCUUCAUGCGUUUGACACCUAUGUGACCAAGGCGGCAGUGCCACAGGUAUGUGGGACUAUCAUUAUCAACCUUACUUCUUUUGGUACUCACAUUAUGAACAUGUGUAGCAUCACGUUCGAGAUUCAUAAAGAAUAAACCAUUCACCAUAGGAGCAUGACCAUAAAACAUAUCUCUCAUAAAAAUGGAACAACCAUUAUUCUCAGAUUUAAAAGAGUAGCCAUCUCGAAUUAAACGAGAUCCCGAUACAAUGUUCAUGCUCAAAGCUGGCACUAAAUAACAAUUAUUAAGGUUUAAAACUAAUACCGAAGGGAGAUGUAGAGGUAGCGUGCCGACGGCGACCACAUUGACCUUGGAACCAUUCCCGACGCGCAUCGUCACCUCGUCCUUUGCCAGUUUCCGCUUAUUCCGCAGCCCCUUUUGUUUUGCCGGCCUUCUUAUCCGCUAAGUACUUAGGGCAGUUCCGCUUCCAGUGACCGCUUCCCUUGCAAUAAAAGCACUCAGUCUCGGGCUUGGGUCCAUUCUUUGGCUUCUUCCCGGCAGCUUGCUUGCCGGGCGCGACAACCUCCUUGCCGUCCUUCUUGAAGUUCUUUUUACCCUUGCCUUUCUUGAACUUAGUGGUUUUAUUGACCAUCAACACUUGAUGUUCCUUCCUGACUUCUACCUCUGCUGAUUUCAGCAUAGCAAAUACUUCAGGAAUGGUCUUUUCCAUCCCCUGCAUAUUGAAGUUCAUCACAAAGCUCUUGUAGCUUGGUGGAAGCGACUGGAGGAUUCUGUCAAUGACCGCAUCAUCCGGGAGAUUAACUCCCAGCUGAGUCAAGCGGUUAUGCAACCCAGACAUAGUGAGUAUGUGCUCACUGACAGAACUGUUUUCCUCCAUCUUACAGCUGAAGAAUUUGUCGGAGACUUCAUAUCUCUCGACCCGGGCAUGAGCUUGGAAAACCAUUUUCAGCUCUUCGAACAUCUCAUAUGCUCCAUGUCUCUCAAAACGCUUUUGGAGCCCCGGCUCUAGGCUGUAAAGCAUGCCGCACUGAACAAGGGAGUAGUCAUCGGAACGUGCCUGCCAAGCAUUCAUAACAUCUUGUUCUGCAGGGAGAACGGGUGCGUCACCAAGCGGUGCUUGUAGGACAUAAUCUUUCUUGGCAGCUAUGAGGAUGAUCCUCAGGUUCCGGACCCAGUCCGUAUAGUUGCUGCCAUCGUCUUUCAGCUUGGUUUUCUCUAGGAACGCGUUGAAGUUGAGGACUACGUUGGCCAUUUAAUCUACAAGACAUAUUGUAAAAUAUUUAGACUAAGUUCAUGAUAAUUAAGUUCAACUAAUCAAAUUAUUAAUGAACUCCCACUUAGAUUAGACAUCCCUCUAGUCAUCUAAGUAUUACAUGAUCCGAGUUAAACUAGACCGUGUCCGAUCAUCACGUGAGACGGACUAGUCAACAUCGGUGAACAUCUUCAUGUUGAUCGUAUCUUCUAUACGACUCAUGCUCGACCUUUCGGUCUUCCGUGUUCCGAGGCCAUGUCUGUACAUGCUAGGCUCGUCAAGUCAACCUAAGUGUCUGCAUGUGUAAAUCUGUCUUACACCCGUUGUAUGUGAACGUCUGAAUAAAACACCCGAUCAUCACGUGGUGUUUUGAAACAGCGAACUGUCGCAACGGUGCACAGUUAGGGGGAACACUUCUUGAAAUUAGUAUGAGGGAUCACCUUAUUUACUACCGUCGUUCUAAGUAAACAAGAUGCAAAACAUGAUAAACAUCACAUGCAAUCAAAUAAUAAACGUGACAUGAUAUGGCCAAUAUCACAUAGCUCCUUUGAUCUCCAUCUUGGGCUCCAUGAUCAUCUUGUCACCGGCUUGACACCAUGAUCUCCAUCAUCGUGUCUCCAUGAAGUUGCUCGCCAACUAUUACUUCUACUACUAUGGCUAACGCGUUUAGCAAUAAAGUAAAGUAAUUUACAUGGCGUUUCUUGAUGACACGCAGGUCAUAUAAAAGAAUAAAGACAACUCCUAUGGCUCCUGCCGGUUGUCAUACUCAUCGACAUGCAAGUCGUGAAUCCUAUUACAAUAGCAUGAACAUCUCAUACAUCACAUAUAGAUCAUUCAUCAUUCAUCACAACUUUGGCCAUAUCAUAUCACAAACCACUUGCUGCAAAAACAAGUUAGACGUCCUCUAAUUGUUGUUGCAAGUUUUACAUGGCUGAAUUAGGGUUCUAGCAAGAACGUUUUCUUACCUACCUUAAAGCCACAACGUGAUUUGUCAACUUCUAUUUACCCUUCAUAAGGACCCUGUUCAUCGAUUCCGCUCCAACUAAAGUAGGAGAGAUAGACACCCGCCAGCCACCUUAUGCAACUAGUGCAUGUUAGUCGGUGGAACCGGUCUCACGUAAGCGUACGUGUAAGGUUGGUCCGGGCCGCUUCAUCCCACAAUACCGCUGAAGCAAGAAAGGACUAGUAACGGCAAGAAAGUUGACAAAUCUACGCCCACAACAAAUUGUGUUCUACUCGCGCAAGAAGAACUACGCAUAGACCUAGCUCAUGAUGCCACUGUUGGGGAACGUUGCAGAAAACAAAGAUUUUCCUACUCGUUUCACCAAGAUCAUCUAGGAGUUCAUCUAGCAACGAGUCAUUGGAUGCAUCUACAUACCUUUGUAGAUCGCGAGCGGAAGCGUUCAAAAGAACGGUGAUGAUGUAGUCGUACUCGACGUGAUCCAAAUCACCGAUGACCAGCGCCGAACGGACGGCACCUCCGCGUUCAACACACGUACGGGACGGUAGACGUCUCCUCCUUCUUGAUCCAGCAAGGGGGAAGGAGAGGUUGAUGAAGAUCCAGCAGCACGACGGCGUGGUGGUGGAUGCAGGGCGUCACAGCAGCAGGGCUUCGCCGAGACUACGAGGGAGAGACGUAACGGGGGGAGGUGGAGGCGCCAGGGGCUGGGGUGAAAUCCCUCCUCUCCCCCCACUAUAUAUAGGGGUGCCAAGGGGGGGGGGGGCGCCGGCCCUAGUAGAUGGCAUCUACUAGGGGGGGGCGGCGGCCAAGGGGAGGUUUCCCUCCCCCCCAAGGCACCUAGGGGUGUCUUCCACCACAUGGACUCUUCCAUGGUGGAAACCCUAGGCGCAUGGGCCUAUAGGGGCUGAUGCCCUUGGCCCAUCUAGGCCAAGGCGCACCCCCUACAGCCCAUGUGGCCCCCCGGGACAGGUGGCCCCACCCGGUGGACCCCCGGGAUCCUUCCGGUGGUCCCGGUACAAUACCGAUAACCCCGAAACUUGUCCCGAUGCCCGAAAUAGCACUUCCUAUAUAUAACUCUUUACCUCCGGACCAUUCCGGAACUCCUCGUGACGUUCGGGAUCUCAUCCGGGACUUCGAACAACAUUCGGGUUUCUGCAUAUACAUAUCUUCAUAACCCUAGCGUCACCGAACCUUAAGUGUGUAGACCCUACGGGUUCGGGAGACAAGCAGACAUGACCGAGACGACUCUCCGGUCAAUAACCAACAGCGGGAUCUGGAUACCCAUGUUGGCUCCCACAUGCUCCACGAUGAUCUCAUCGGAUGAACCACGAUGUCGAGGAUUUAAUCAAUCCCGUACGCUAUUCCCUUUGUCUAUCGAUAUGUUACUUGCCCGAGAUUCGAUCGUCGGUAUCCCAAUACCUCGUUCAAUCUCGUUACCGGCAAGUCACUUUACUCGUACCGUAAUGCAUGAUCCCAUGACCAGACACUUGGUCACUUUGAGCUCAUUAUGAUGAUGCAUUACCGAGUGGGCCCAGUGAUACCUCUCCGUCAUACGGAGUAACAAAUCCCAGUCUUGAUCCAUGUCACCCAACAAACACUUUCGGAGAUACCCGUAGUCUACCUUUAUAGUCACCCAGUUACGUUGUGACGUUUGGCAUACCCAAAGCACUCCUACGGUAUCCGGGAGUUACAUGAUCUCAUGGUCUAAGGAAAAGAUACUUGACAUUGGAAAACUCUAGCAAACGAACUAUACGAUCUUGUGCUAUGUUUAGGAUUGGGUCUUGUCCAUCACAUCAUUCUCCCAAUGAUGUGAUAUCGUUAUCAAUGACAUCCAGUGUCCAUAGUCAGGAAACCAUGACUAUCUGUUGAUCAACGAGCUAGUCAACUAGAGGCUCACUAGGGACAUGUCGGUGUCUGUUAUUCACACAUGUAUUACGAUUUCCGGAUAACACAAUUAUAGCAUGAAUAAAGACAAUUAUCAUGAACAAGGAAAUAUAAUAAUGCUUUUAUUAUUGCCUCUAGGGCAUAUUUCCAACAUGCGGACCCUACGGGUUCGAGAACAAUGUAGACAUGACCGAGACACAUCUCCGGUCUGUAACCAAUAGCGGAACCUAGAUGCUCAUAUUGGCUCCCACAUAUUCUACGAAGAUCUUUAUCGGUCAGACCGCAUAACAACAUACGUUAUUCCCUUUGUCAUCGGUAUGUUACUUGCCCGAAAUUUGAUCGUCGGUAUCUCAAUACCUAGUUCAAUCUCGUUACCGGCAAGUCUAAUUACUCAUUCCAUAAUACAUCAUCCCACAACUAACUCAUUAGUUGCAAUGCUUGCAAGGCUUUAAGUGAUGUGCAUUACCGAGAGGGCCCAGAGAUACCUCUCCGACAAUCGGAGUGACAAAUCCUAAUCUCGAAAUACGCCAACCCAACAAGUACCUUUGGAGACACCUAUAGAGCACCUUUAUAAUCACCCAGUUACGUUGUGACGUUUGGUAGCACACAAAGUGUUCCUCCGGUAAACAGGAGUUGCAUAAUCUCAUAGUCAUAGGAACAUGUAUAAGUCAUGAACAAAGCAAUAGCAACAGACUAAACGAUCAAGUGCUAUGCUAACGGAAUGGGUCAAAUCAAUCACAUCAUUCUCUAAUGAUGUGACCCCGUUAAUCAAAUGACAACUCAUGUCUAUGGCUAGGAAACUUAACCAUCUUUGAUUCAACGAGCUAGUCAAGUAGAGGCAUACUAGUGACACUCUAUUUGUCUAUGUAUUCACACAUGUAUUAUGUUUCCGGUUAAUACAAUUCUAGCAUGAAUAAUAAACAUUUAUCAUGAAAUAAGGAAAUAAAUAAUAACUUUACUAUUGCCUCUAGGGCAUAUUUCCUUCAGUCUCCCACUUGCACUAGAGUCAAUAAUCUAGUUCACAUCGCCAUGUGAUUUAACAUCAAUAGUACACAUCACUAUGUGGUUAACACCCAUAGUUCAUAUCGUCAUGUGACCAACACCCAAAAGGGUUUACUAGAUUCAAUAAUCUAGUUCACAUCGCGAUGUGAUUAACGGACAAAGAGUACUAAGGUGUGAUCAUGUUUUGUUUGAGAGAAGUUUAGUCAACGGGUCUGCCAUAUUCAAAUCCGUAAGUAUUUUGCAAAUUUCUAUGUCAACAAUGCUCUGCACUAAGCUACUCUAGCUAAUUGCUCCCACUUUCAAUAUGUAUCCAGAUUGAGACUUUGAGUCAUCUAGAUCAGUGUCAAAACUUGCAUCGACGUAACCUUUUAUGACGAACCUUUUGUCACCUCCAUAAUCGAGAAACAUAUCCUAUUCCACUAAGGAUAAUUUUGACCAAUGUCCAGUGAACUAAUCCUAGAUCACUAUUGUACUCCCUUGCCAAACUCAGGGCAGGGUAUACAAUAGGUCUGGUACACAGCAUGGCAUACUUUAUAGAACCUAUGGUUGAUGCAUAGGGAAUGACUUUCAUUCUCUCUCUAUCUUCUGUCGUGGUCGGGUUUUGAGUCUUACUCAACUUCACACCUUGUAACACAGGCUAGAACUCCUUCUUUGACUGUUCUAUUUUGAACUACUUCAAAAUCUUGUCAAGGUAUGUACUCAUUGAAAAACUUAUCAAGCGUCUCGAUAUAUCUCUAUAGAUCUUGAUGCUCAAUGUGUAAGCAGCUUCACCGAGGUCUUUCUUUGAAAAACUCCCUUCAAACAUUCCUUUAUGCUUUGCAGAAUAAAUCUACAUUAUCUCCGAUCAACAAUAUGUCAUACACAUAUACUUAUCAGAAAUGCUGUAGUGCUCCCACUCACUUUCUUAUAAAUACAGGCUUCACCGCAAGUAUGUAUAAAACUAUAUGCUUUGAUCAACUUAUCAAAGUGUUUAUUCCAACUCCGAGAGGCUUGCACCAGUCCAUAAAUGGAUCGCUGGAGCUUGCACACUUUGUUAGCUCCCUUUGGAUCGACAAAACCUUUCGGUUGCAUCAUAUACAACUCUUCUUCCAGAAAUCCAUUCAGGAAUGCAGUUUUGACAUCCAUCUGCCAAAUUUCAUAAUCAUAAAAAGCGGCAAUUGCUAACAUGAUUCGGACAGACUUAAGCAUAGAUACGAGUGAGAAACUCUCAUCGUAGUCAACACUUUGAACUUGUCGAAAACCUUUUUGCGACAAUUCUAGCUUUGUAGAUGGUAACACUACUAUCAGCGUCCGUCUUCCUCUUGAAGAUCCAUUUAAUCUAAAUGGCUCGCCGAUCAUUGGGCAAGUCAAUCAAAGUCCAUACUUUGCUCUCAUACAUGGAUCUCAUCUCAGAUUUCAUGGCCUCAAGCCAUUUCGCGGAAUCUGGGCUCAUCAUCGCUUCCUCAUAGUUCGUAGGUUCGUCAUGGUCAAGUAACAUGACCUCUAGAACAGGAUUACCGUACCACUCUAGUGCGGAUCUCACUCUGGUUUACCUAUGAGGUUCGAUAGUAACUUGAUCUGAAGUUACAUGAUCAUCAUCAUUAGCUUCCUCACUAAUUGGUGUAGUAGUCACAGGAACAUAUUUCUGUGAUGAACUACUUUCCAAUAAGGGAGCAGGUACAGUUACCUCAUCAAGUUCUACUUUACUCCCACUCACUUCUUUCGAGAGAAACUCCUUCUCUAGAAAGGAUCCAUUCUCAACAAUGAAUAUCUUGCCUUCGGAUCUGUGAUAGAAGGUGUACCCAACAUUUUCUUUUGGGUAUCCUAUGAAGAUUUACUUCUCCGAUUUGGGUUCGAGCUUAUCAUGUUGAAACUUUUUCACAUAAGCAUCGCAGUCCCAAACUUUAAGAAACGACAGCUUAGGUUUCUCGCCAAACCACAGUUCAUACGGUGUCGUCUCAACGGAUUUAGAUGGUGCCCUUUUUAACGUGAAUGUGGCUGUCUCUAAUGCAUAACCCCAAAACGAUAGUGGUAGAUCGAUAAGAGACAUCAUAGAUCACACUAUAUCUAAUAAAGUACGGUUAUGACGUUCGGACACACCAUUACACUGUGGUGUUCCAGGUGGCGUGAGUAGUGAAACUAUUUCACAUUGUUUUAACUGAAGGCCAAACUCGUAACUCAAAUAUUUUACUUCUGCGAUCAUAUCAUAGAAAUUUUUAUUUUUGUUACAAUGAUUCUCUGCAUCACUCUAAAAUUCUUUGAACUUUUCAAAUAUUUCAGACUUGUGUUUCAUCAAGUAGAUAUACUCAUAUCUGCUCAAAUCAUCUGUGAAGAUCAGAAAAUAAUGAUACCUACCACGAGCCUCAAUAUUCAUUGGACCACAUACAUCAGUAUGUAUGAUUUCCAACAAAUCCGUUGCUCGCUCCAUUGUUCCGGAGAAUGGAGUCUUAGUCAUCUUGCCCAUGAGGCAUGGUUCGCAAGCAUCAACUGAUUCAUAAUCAAGUGAUUCCAAAAACCCAUCAGCAUGGAUUUUCUUCAUGCGCUUUACACCAAUAUGACCUAGACAGCAGUGCCACAAAUAAGUUGCACUAUCAUUAUUAACUUUGCAUCUUUUGGCUUCAAUAUUAUGAAUAUGUGUAUCACCACGAUCGAGAUCCAAUAAACCAUUUUCAUUGGGUGUAUGACCAUAGAAGGUUUUAUUCAUGUAAACAGAACAACAAUUAUUCUCUAACUUACAUGAAUAACCGUAUUGCAAUAAACAUGAUCCAAUCAUAUUUAUGCUCAACGCAAACACCAAAUAACACUUAUUUAGGUUCAACACUAAUCCCGAAAGUAUAGGGAGUGUGCGAUGAUGAUCAUAUCAAACUUGGAACCAGUUCCAACACACAUCGUCACUUCACCCUUAACUAGUCUCUGUUCAUUCUGCAACUCCCGUUUCGAGUUACUACUCUUAGCAACUGAACUAGUAUCAAAUACUGAGGGGUUGCUAUAUACACUAGUAAAGUACACAUCAAUAACAUGUAGAUCAAAUAUACCUAUGUUCACUUUGCCAUCCUUCUUAUCCGCCAAUUACUUGGGGUAGUUCCGCUUCCAGUGACCAGUCCCUUUGCAGUAGAAGCACUCAGUUUCAGGCUUAGGUCCAGACUUGGGUUUUUCACUUGAGCAGCAACUUGCUUGCCGUUCUUCUUGAAGUUCCCAUUUCUUCCCUUUGUACCUUUACUUGAAACUAGUGGUUUUGUUUACCAUCAACACUUGAUGCUUUUCUUGAUUUCUACCUUCGUUGAUUUUAGCAUCACGGAGAGCUUGGAAUCGUUUCCGUUAUCCCUUGCAUAUUAUAGUUCAUCACGAAGUUCUACUAACUUGGUGAUGGUGACUAGAGAAUUCUGUCAAUUACUAUUUUAUCUGGAAGAUUAACUCCCACUUGAUUUAAGCGAUUGUAGUACCCAGAUAAUCUGAGCACAUGCUCACUGCUUGAGCUAUUCUCCUCCAUCUUUUAGCUAUAGAACUUGUUGGAGACUUCAUAUCUCUCAACUCGGGUAUUUGCUUGAAAUAUUAACUUCAACGGAACAUCUCAUAUGGUCCAUGACAUUCAAAACGUCUUUGAAGUCCCGAUUCUAAGCCGUUUAAGCAUGGUGCACUAAACUAUCAAGUAGUCAUCAUAUUGAGCUAGCUAAAUGUUCAUAACAUCUGCAUCUGCUCCUGCAAUAGGUUUGUCACCUAGCGGUGCAUCAAAGACAUAAUUCUUCUGUGCAGCAAUGAGGAUAAACCUCAGAUCAGGGAUCCAAUCCGCAUCAUUGCUACUAACAUCUUUCAACUUAGUUUUCUCUAGGAACAUAUCAAAAAUAAAACAGGGGAGCUAAACGCGAGCUAUUGAUCUACAACAUAGAUAUGCUAAUACUACCAGGACUAAGUUCAUGAUAAAUUAAAGUUCAAUUAAUCAUAUUACUUAAGAACUCCCACUUAGAUAGACAUCCCUCUAAUCCUCUAAGUGAUUACGUGAUCCAAAUCAACUAAACCAUGUCUGAUCAUCACGUGAGAUGGAGUAGUUUCAAUGGUGAACAUCACUAUGUUGAUCAUAUCUACUAUAUAAUUCACGCUCGACCUUUCGGUCUUCGUGUUCCGAGGCCAUAUCUGUUAUAUGCUAGACUCGUCAAGUUUAACCUGAGUAUUCCGCGUGUGCAACUGUUUUGCACCCGUUGUAUUUGAACGUAGAGCCUAUCACACCCAAUCAUCACAUGGUGUCUCAGCACGAAGAACUUUCGCAACGGUGCAUACUCAGGGAGAACACUUAUACUUUGAUAAUUUAGUGAGGGAUCAUCUUAUAAUGCUACCGUCAAUCAAAGCAAGAUAAGAUGCAUAAAAGAUAAACAUCACAUGCAAUCAAUAUAAGUGAUAUGAUAUGGCCAUCAUCAUCUUGUACUUGUGAUCUCCAUCUCCGAAGUACCGUCAUGAUCACCAUCGUCACCGGCGUGACACCUUGAUCUCCAUCGUAGCAUCGUUGUCGUCUCGCCUAUCUUAUGCUUCCACGACUAUCGCUACCGCUUAGUGAUAAAGUAAAGCAUUACGGCGCGAUUGCAUUGCAUACAAUAAAGCGACAACCAUAUGGCUCCUGCUAGUUGCCGAUAGCUCGGUUACAAAACAUGAUCAUCUCAUACAAUAAAAUUUAGCAUCAUGUCUUGACCAUAUCACAUCACAACAUGCCCUGCAAAAACAAGUUAGACGUCCUAUACUUUGUUGUUGCAAGUUUUACGUGGCUGUUACGGGCUUAGCAAGAACCUUUCUUACCUAUGCAUCAAAACCACAAUGAUAGUUUGUCAAGUUGGUGCUGUUUUAACCUUCGCAAGGACCGGGCGUAGCCACACUCGGUUCAAUUAAAGUUGGAGAAACUGACACCCGCCAGCCACCUGUGUGCAAAGCACGUCGGUAGAACCAGUCUCGCGUAAGCGUACGCGUAAUGUCGGUCCGGGCCGCUUCAUCCAACAAUACCGCCGAACCAAAGUAUGACAUGCUGGUAAGCAGUAUGACUUAUAUCGCCCACAACUCACUUGUGUUCUACUCGUGCAUAACAUCAAUGCAUAAAACCUAGGCUCGGAUGCCACUGUUGGGGAACGUAGUAAUUUCAAAAAUUUCCUACGCACACGCAAGAUCAUGGUGAUGCAUAGCAACGAGAGAUGAGAGUGUUGUCUACGUAUCCUCAUAGACCGAAAGCGGAAGCGUUAGCACAAUGUGAUUGAUGUAGUCGUACGUCUUCACGGCCCGACCGAUCAAGCACCGAAAACUACGGCACCUUCGAGUUCUAGCACACGUUCAGCUCAAUGACGAUCCCCGGACUCCGAUCCAGCAGAAUGUCGGGGAAGAGUUCCGUCAGCACGACGGCGUGGUGAUGAUCUUGAUGUUCUACCGUCGCAGGGCUUCGCCUAAGCACCGCUACAAUAUUAUCGAGGAUUAUGAUGGGAGGGGGCACCGCACACGGCUAAGAGAUCAAUGAUCAAUUGUUGUGUCUUUGGGGUGCCCCUGCACCCGUAUAUAAAGGAGCACAGGAGGAGGAGGCCGGACCUAGGAGGGGGCGCGCCAAGUGUGGAGUCCUACUAGGACUCCCUAGUCUUAGUAGGAUUCCACCUCCCAUAUGGAAUAGGAAAAGAGGAAGGAAAAAGGAGAAGGAAGGAAGGGGACGCCCCCCUUCCCUAGUCCAAUUUGGACCAGACCAAGGGGAGGGGUGCGGCCACCCUUGAGGCCCUUUUCCUUCUUUCCCGUAUGGCCCAAUAAGGCCCAAUACGUAUUCCCAUAACUCUCCGGUACUCCGAAAAAUACCCGAAUCACUGAGAACCUUUCCGAUGUCCGAAUAUAGUCGUCCAAUAUAUCGAUCUUUAUGUCUCGACCAUUUCGAGACUCCUCGUCAUGUCCCCGAUCUCAUCCGGGACUCCGAACUCCUUCGGUACAUCAAAACUCAUAAACUCAUAAUAUAACUGUCAUCGAAACCUUAAGCGUGCGGACCCUACGGGUUCAAGAACAAUGUAGACAUGACCGAGACACAUCUCUGGUCAAUAACCAAUAGCGGAACCUGGAUGCUCAUAUUGGCUCCCACAUAUUCUACGAAGAUCUUUAUCGGCCAGACCGCAUAACAACAUACGUUGUUCCCUUUGUCAUCGGUAUGUUACUUGCCCGAGAUUCGAUCGUCGGUAUCUCAAUACCUAGUUCAAUCUCAUUACCGACAAGUCUCUUUACUCGUUCCGUAAUACAUCAUCCCGCAACGAACUCAUUAGUUGCAAUGUUUGCAAGGCUUUAAGUGAUGUGCAUUACUGAGAGGACCCAGAGAUACCUCUCCGACAAUCGGAGUGACAAAUCCUAAUCUCGAAAUACGCCAACCCAACAAGUACCUUUGGAGACACCUGUAGAGCACCUUUAUAAUCACCCAGUUAUGUUGUGACAUUUGGUAGCACACAAAGUGUUCCUCUGGUAAACUGGAGUUGCAUAAUCUCAUAGUCAUAGGAACAUGUAUAAGUCAUGAAGAAAGCAAUAGCAACAAACUAAACGAUCAAGUGCUAUGCUAAUGGAAUGGGUCAAGGCAAUCACAUCAUUCUCUAAUGAUGUGACCCUCUUAAUCAAAUGACAACUCAUGUCUAUGGCUAGGAAACUUAACCAUCUUUGAUUCAACGAGCUAGUCAAGUAGAGGCAUACUAGUGACACUCUGUUUGUCUAUGUAUUCACACAUGUAUUAUGUUUCCGGUUAAUACAAUUCUAGCAUGAAUAAUAAACAUUUAUCAUGAAAUAAGGAAAUAAAUAAUAACUUUAUUAUUGCCUCUAGGGCAUAUUUCCUUCAAUACCCCCAACGUGAGGUGCCACCACUAAGGCCAGAUGACCCGGAUUAUCAACCCGGGGUGGAUGAUCCUCUCGACUCCACAAAAUGGGCUGUUCAGACCAGCAAAGAUAACGGGGCACCGCCAGUUCAACGUAGUUUACUGCCCUCUUUAUGCAGCUUCUGAUCAUGCUUACAUAGGCUAGUGGUGAAAACAUGAUACUGCCCACUAUUCAACUGUUUCGGAUUACUCUGAUAACCCGAUUGCUGCUGCUGCUGACUCCCCUGAUGGUUAUAACCGCCCUGGUUACCCUGACUGCCUUGAUUGCCAUGUCCGGUUUGAUUGCCUUGAAAUCCUGAAUCGGAGCUGCCUCCAUUGUAACCCGGCCCAUGAGGACCGCCUCCUGAACCACCGGGCGGUCCCUGGUCGUAUUGGAAAGAGCUUGAAUUUUUUAACGCCCGCAUGAUGAAAAAUUCUUCCAAAGGUGCGUAGCUGGCCUCUCUCACGACCCGUGCUUUGGGCAACGCUCAUUUAACAUGCAUUCAAGAUUGGGACCUGAACCUCUACCUCGUUGGGGCGGUUUACCCUUACGGCGCUGACCAUUAUCCUGGGUGUUGGUGUUAGCCACAAAAUCCAAGCUGUUAUCCGCCUUGCGCUUACCGUUGUUCCCAUGACCCGCCGGGUUAUGCUGCUGCCCCUUGGCACUGUCAUUCUUCUUUCCCUUCCCCGUCUUUUCAUCCUCAGACUCAGGGUCCUUGGUACUAUCUGAAUCGACAUACUUAAUCAGAGCUACCAUAAGCGUGGCCAUGUCAUUGCAGUGACGCUUGAGCCUUCCCAACUUCAGCUUCAAGGUCAUAAACCGGCAAUUGCCUUCCAAUGUUAAGACUGUCGUGUUAGCAUUGAUGUGGUCUGAUGAAUGCAGAAUAGCUGAGACUCGCUUCACCCAAUGGGUUGUGGACUCCCCCUCCUUUUGAACACAGGCGGCUAAGUCCACAAUUGACAUGGGUUGUUUGCACGUAGCUUUGAAAUUCUGGAUAAACCGGCCUUUUAACUCGGCCCAUGAUCCAACGGAGUUAGCUGGUAAGCUUUUUAACCAAGUACGAGUUGUCCCUUCCAGCAUCAUGGUAAAGUACUUAGCACAUGACGCAUCAUCCACGUCCAGCAUCUCCAUCGCCAUCUCAUAGCUCUCGACCCAUGACUCGGGGGUAAAUCGGCAGUGUAAUUGGACACCUUACGAGGGCCCUUGAAGUCCUUGGGCAGCCCCACGUUACGUAGGGCCGGGGUAAGACACGGCACCCCCAAAGAACUGAAAACCAUGCAUGGUUCCACCGAAGUGGUUGGACGAACCAGAGUAAGUUGACGGGCCGCGUACUGCGCUGCUAACUCGGCUUCUCGACGUGCUCUACCGUGAUCCACCACAUCCUGGGCAUUAGCACCGCCGCCCGCCGGGUUAUGACCUCGCGGCGGUUAUGGUUUCGCGCACUGCUCGAUACGACCGGUUCAUCAAUAUGCCUGUUGUAGCUCCGACUUGGACGGGGGGGAGGGGUGGAAUGAAUCCUCUCGCGACUGUGCGAAUAAGCCUGCUGUUGAGUCAAAGCUGUCUGAAGGAGCUCCCUAGCUCGUCGUGUUUCAACUGCUACUGGAGACUCGCCGUCAAUCGGGAGAGCUGCCAAUCGUGAAGCGGCGGCAACAAUGUUAUCCAACGGGUUAGAGUAAUGACCCGGAGGCAUUGCGACAUGCUGUGGUGGGACAUUGUUCUGACGAGGCGGAUCCAUCACGCGCGGCUGAACCAGCGCCCCCGUUCCAGGUGCCUCCACCCAGUUUACCACUGGCUGGUUGCUGGUGCCCGCUCCCGGCGUGUUAAAGAGAUUCCUUCCCUCGUAAACCGGAGGCAAGUGAGACCGAUACCUUCUCCUCAUAACAUCAUUUGACGCACUCUGAUCCAGUAUAAGCCGAUAAGCCUGUGCCUCUAACUCGGCCCGCUCUACGGCCAUCCUGGUGUUCUCUGCUGCCAGAUCUACCUUAGCUUGAGCUAUCUGAUCCUUCACCUUUGCAAUUUCCGUGUUAUGUUGAUCCUGAUUCGCCGUGUUAACCUCAGCUGCUAGCAACGUUGCCAAAGUGUCAAAUAAAUCGGACAAAGCCUGAGCCGGCGGUGGUGCAGAGCCCCUUGCCUCGGCUGGUGUUGUAGCUGCUGAAUCGGAAAUCACUAUUGCGGCGAUAGAAGAAUGCUACACCGAUUGUGUACCGGCCAUGAAGAUCGCAACUCGGCUCGGCGGGUCAGAGAGGUCCGGAAUACUGUCGCCAUCGGAACCCACUAAUCCGGCCAUCCUGCAGCUGAUACAGCAACUCGGUCUCUCCAGUUGAAGACUCGUCAUUAGAGUAGACGACGGUUUCGCCACCAGAUACCGAUCUAUCCUCAGAUUCCGCUUCAUGGAUGACUCCCACGAAGGCACGCUUUACGGCAGGCUGAACUCGGGCAAGUCUUGCACGCUGAGCCAUCUCGAUGAUGUCGGUGCAGAUCUCUGGUUCAGGGCCCGGUUCACCGAUCUUGCCAAUGAAGACAUGUAUUCCGCCAAAGGGGACCCGGUACCCGUACUCGAUCGAGCCGGCCUCGGGGCCCCAGCCUGGGUCGUCGAUGUAGAGCUUGUCGCGAUGACUCUUGGUCAUCCGGCCCAUAGCGUAUCCCUUGAGUCCUUCGAAGCUGCCCUUCAAGAACUCGAAACCAUCGUGCGAUAGCCCCACGGUGGGCGCCAACUGUCGUGGUUUUGUCACGGCAGAUGUCCUAGUGAAAGGACUUAGUCAUGGAGCCAUCGCGACAGGUUAGCUUAAAGGGGUUAAAGCGGACAAGGGACGUAAGGAAUUAUACUGGUUCGGCCCCUUACGAUGAAGGUAAAAGCCCAUGUCCAGUUGUGAUGGAAUUGCUAGGGUUUCGAUGACCAGGGAGCGAAUCCGCUUUGCCUGGCUCUCGAGUUAUUGUUGUCUGUCCCUAAACCGCCGCCGGGUCAUCCCUUUAUAUACACAGGUCGACGCCUGGCGGUUUAAAGAAUCCCGAGGCCGGUUCAUACACGUGCCCGGCUCGGUUUCUACCUUUCCUUGCCUUACAACAUAAGUUACAUAACAUAUGGCGGUUUAUGUCUACGGGCCCUAAUCUGUCUUUGGGCCCUGGGCCUUCAUGUUAGAUCUCCUCUGUAAAGUGAUAACACACAAGUAUAGGGGACCGCAACAGUUUUUGAUAAGUAAGAGUGUCAAACCAACGAGGAGCUGAAGGUAGAAUAAAUAUUCCCUCAAGUUCUAUCGACCACCGAUACAACUCUACGCACGCUUGACGUUCGCUUUAUCUAGAACAAGUAUCAAACUAGAAGUGUUUUGUAGGUGUUGUUGGAUAGGUUUGCAAGGUAAUAAAGAGCGCGCAAAUAAAAAGUAGGGGCUGUUUAGAUAAAGACACAACUAAGUUAGUUUUAGUAAAGAGGUUUUUGUUACGAGAAAGUUAUUUGUCCCUAGGCAAACGAUAACUAGACCGGUAAUCAUUAUUGCAAUUUUAUUUGACGGAGAGGCAUAAGCUAACAUACUUUAUCUACUUGGAUCAUAUGCACUUAUGAUUGGAACUCUAGCAAGCAUCUGCAACUACUAAAGAUCAUUAAGGUAAAACCCAACCAUAGCAUUAAAGUAUCAAGUCCUCUUUAUCCCAUACGCAAACAACCUACUUACUCGGAUAUGUGCUUCUAUCACUCACGCCACCCACCAUCAGCAAAUUAUGAACAUAUUGCAAACCCUACAACAGGAAUCCCUCACGCUUGCGCGACACGGAGAGCACCAUAGGACAACACCAAUAAUAAAACAUGCAACUCAAACCAAUCACAAUCAUCAAAUAACCCAUAGGACAAAACAGAUCUACUCAAAUAUCAUAGGAUAGCCAUACAUCAUUGGGAAAUAAUAUAUAGCGUUGAGCACCAUGUUUAAGUAGAGAUUACAGUGGCUAAAAGAGGGGUUACACCGCUGCAUAGAGGAGGGAAGAGUUGGUGAUGAUGGCGGUGAAGUUGUUGGUGAAGAUUGCGGUGAUGAUGAUGAUGGCCACGGCGGUGUUCCGGCGCCACCGGAAGAGAAGGGAGAGGGGGCCCUUCUUCUUCUCCUUCCUUGACCUCCUCCCUAGAUGGGAGAAGGGUUUCCCCUGUGGUCCUUGGCCUCCAUGGCAUGGGAGGGGCUCGCCCCUCUGAGAUUGGAUAUGUCUCUCUCUGUUUCUGCGUUCUCAGAUUCCGCCCUUUCACCGUUUCUUAUAUUCCCGGAGAUCCGUAACUCCGAUUGGGCUGAAAUUUUAACACGAUCUCUAUCUGGAUAUUAGCUUUCUUGCAGCGAAAGAAGGGCAUCAACCGCCUUACGGGGUGGCCACGAGGGCCCAGGGCACAGCCCCCUACCUCGUGGCCCCCUUGGGCAUCGUCUCGCGUGGAUUUUUCUUCCCAAAAAUCACAUAUAUUCCAAAAAAAAUCUCCGUCAGUUUUUAUCCCGUUUGGACUCCGUUUGAUAUGGAUUUACUACGAAACAAAAAAUAUGCAACAAACAAGAACUGGCACUGGGCACUGGAUCAAUAUGUUAGUCCCAAAAAUAGUAUAAAAAGUUGCCAAAAGUAUAUGAAAGUUGUAGAAUAUUGGCAUGAAACAAUCAAAAAUUAUAGAUACGACGGAGACGUAUCAUAAAGCGCCAUACUUCUUGUCUUCAUGGGCUUCAAACAUGACUGAUUCAUUAUGGGCAUAACUGUAACACCCCGAGAAUCAUGAUACAGUAAUCUCCCUCUAACAGUGGCCAUGUCAUCAUGAUUACUAUGCAAAUUGCCACUAGUCCAAAAUCAAAGUCAAAUUCAAAUUUAAAUCGCUAGUGAAAUUAUUUUUUAUUCGAACAGUAAAACUAAAAUGUUCAAAUUAUUCCACAAUUCCCCUCAUCAUUUUUCAUGUUGAACCCAACCUUAUUGACCUACCAAUUAAUCCCUAGGAAUUAAUAAAUGGUCCAACAGCAAAUAUUUCAGCCUUUUCAAAACAAACAAAUAUCUAUACAUUUCCAAAUGAUGUGAAACCCAGUGUGUGGUCUUGAAAUAUUGUACUGGAUUUAUAUGCCAAGUCUUAACUCAAACAAAAUUCAUUUGCUAAUUUAAAUAUAUGAGAAAACAUCAGUUGAUUAAAUUGACAGAAAAAAAAGAAAAAAACCUAACACUAUGGUGUCGCUGGGCCAUAAGUGGCCACAACGCACAAGGCCCAGCCCAACUGAGGUCAUCCCCAACCUCCUACUAUAGGAGCAGGGGAUGCGUGGCGGGCAUCCCACGACCAUGAGUGCGCCCGGCCAGGUGUCGAGCAUCCACCGUCCUCUUGAGGUAGAUAAGAACCACCCCGACGCCAUCGACCAACCCUAGCCCCUCAUUUUCCCGCUGUUGCUCCCCCCGAUCUAGAAACUUAGCCGAGCGAAGUCGUCGCCGCCGCCUUCGUCGAUCCCGCGGCCACCGGCCUCCCCUCCCCGCGCCAAGACAUCCAGGGGCUCCUCCAUCGUUGUCUCCUUUUCCCUCGCAUAAGAGCCCGAGCUAGGAGGCGCCGUACACUCGCCAUCGCUGUCAUCUUCGCCCAUAGCCGCCGCAUCUCGUCGUCGAGUUCUUCGUGUCCGGCCACCACCGUGCUCCCCGACCACGUCCACAAGCUCCGCGGUGAGCAUCUCCUCCGAUUCCCGGCUUUUACUCCGUUGAUUUGUUGCCGUAUCGUCAUCCCCAUGAGCUCGAGCGCCAUGGCCGAAACAUCUCGUCCGCGUGCGCGCCCACGUGUUCCUGGUCACGCCCUCGCCAGCCACCCACGCUCGCGCCCUCUGGUGCCUCCGCCCCGUGCCCGCGCGCCGGCCGCCCUACUGCGCGUCGCUCCGGCCGCCCGGUGCCUCCCGCUGCUAUACUACUGUUGCUUCUGUUGCCGUUGGCCACUACUCCUGUGCCGCUGGCAGCUACUGUCGCUUCGGCCUCCUGAUGCUGCCGCUGCGUUGCUUGCUCUGCCCACUGUCACUCCCGCUAGAAGCCGCCAUCGUUGCUGCUACUUGCCCGCAAGCCCCUGCCUACGCGCCGGCAGGGCCGCGCCCCGCGCCAUGCCCGCAACUGCGCCUCGUGUGUGCCUGCUCCUUGCGUGCCGCUGCACUGUUCCUUUGCUACUGCCUUGCUGCUACUUAGCUGCCACCGUUGCUCUUACUUCUGCUGCUGCUCAUUGCUUUGCCAUGGCCGUGGUGUUGUGCAGCGUAGUGUGUGUGUGUGCGUGAGUGUGUGUUCUGUGUGUGUGGCUGGCCCAAAUACUAGUUUAGGGACUAGUUUAGUUAGUUAGUCUAAUUAGUAGUAUUAGUUAAUUAGUCUAAUAGUAGGUGACAUGUGGACCCAUGGUUAGUUUAAAGAAAAAUAAAUUUUCAGAAAAGUCUAAGUCAAUGACAUGUAGCCCCUUACACUGUUCAUAUGUUGACUAUUCAACAUUUGACUGGGUCAACACAACCCCACUGGUCCCACUGUCAUACACUAUGGCUACAAUAGCACUAGGUGACAGAAGUAUUUUGUUGUUUUAUUUUCGAAUUAAAAGAAUUCUUUAAAUAUAUAAAAUCAUUUUAAACUUUGUAAAUUCAUAUAAAAUAAUCCGUAACUCGGAUGAAAAUAAUUUAUAUAUGAAAGUUGCUCAGAAAAAUCCAACAAAUCCGGAUACACGGUCCGUUCAUCUGUCACAUGCCCCUAGCACGCUGAACAUGGAACCGUCCCCUCUCUUUUCAUUUGUCCGAAAAACUUCAGACGCCGGGAAAACCCCUCCGGAUGUUUUCCUUCUCCGUCUGCAGCGUCUAGCAAUGUGUUAGUUCACCCCUAACAUCGUGUAUUACCAUGUUAUGCUUUAUGAUGCUUUGUUUGCUUUAUAUUUAUUGUUUCUUCCCCCUCUUCUCUCCUGUAGAUCCCGAGACCGAGGCUGCCCCUGUGAUCGACUACGUCGGCGAUGACACUUCUUUCUUUUCAGCAGAGCUUUCAAGCAAGCAAACCCUCCUUGAGCAUUCCGAUAUCGCCCAUUUAUUUCCCUCUCAUGCUUGCAUUAGAACUACUACUGCUUUCUGUAUGAUCCUACUCUGAUGCAUAGCCUGUUGUUGUUACCUGCUUUCAUACCUUACCUGCUUAUCCUAAACUGCUUAGUAUAGGUUGGUUAGUGAUCCAUCAGUGACCCCCACCUUGUCCCAGUUUCCCCGCUUUAUGUUCGAUGACUCGAUCAACGUGAUCGACGUCCAGGCCCCGACACCGCACAUCACCCCCCUAGUUGUACGACUCUGCAGAGUUACCAUUGAGUGCUGAGGGUGGAACCUCUUACAUCACUCCUGAUGAGAUCUCUGUAGUGUAGCUAUACGGUCGAGGUCAUCGAGGGUGAUUUCCUCCUUAACCACUUCCGUUACGGCUCUGUCGUGCAACCCCUCAAGUGUGAACCUCGAGGGUGGAUCCUCUUACGUUCACCUUGAUGAUAACAUCGACUGGAAUUCACCGGGGGUGAUUCCUCGGGUUUUCCCCUUGGUGUUAGACACACAGUUACUAUGGUUACUAUGACUUUGCAAUGAGCCAUGUUACUAAAGACGGGUCGGCCCUGAGGGGUACCCGCGCGAGCUUAAUUGCGAGUGAUGUGGAGUCGGGUUGACCUGGAAGGUGCCCGCAAGAUACUUACGAGGCAUGGCCGGGCAUUCUUAGCCCUUGCCGCAAGUACUCGAGACGGGGCGAUGGGGUCACAUCGAUCGUGAGUCUCUGCUCGUUACCGCGUGCUCCUAAUCCACUACGGUUUGGAUAUUUGAUCCGAGGGGCCUCUGGCCUGAUAGCACUAACCAUCACGUGGGCAUAGUAUGGGCGUUCUACGUCGUAUGCAUCAGCCGAAGCUUAAUAAACGUUAGCGACUGAGUGGCGCGCGCCGGGUUGGACUGCGUAAGCACCUGCCUUUUUGAAGGAGGUAGCUAGGUCUGCUCAUCGGCCACCCACGCAACGUGCAGGAGUUCCCGGGGCGAUGGACCAUGACCUCUGGGGGCAUAGGUUUAGUCCGGCAUGCUGGCCUCUCUAUUAAGCCUAGGUCGGGUUACGGCGUAUUGUUUGGCCAAGGCCGGGCAUGACCCAGGAAAGUGUGUCCGGUCGGAGUUAAUCGAAUGUGGUGGGUAAGUUGGUGCACCCCUGCAGGGAAGAAAACAUCUAUCGAUAGCCUGUCCUACGAUAACAGACACUUGGAGUUGUAUCCCGAUCGAUACAACUAGAACUGGAUACUUGUGAUGAGAAAUGGAUAUGAGAAAUGGAUAGUAUGGCUCUGGGAUUGCUUUCUUGGAGGGACUCAAGAAAGGAUCUCUGGCCGAGGUUGAUAACACUACUACUUUACAUUAUGUUGAUAUGUACUCUUCUAUAUGGUGCAAGAUGCUUGAAGAUGCUUGAAGAUGCUAGUCUUCGAUAGGCUAGGCUUUCCCCUUCUCUUCUGACAUUAUGCAGUUUAGUCCACAGAUACAGCUCAUUUCCUUUGAUAGAGAUGCAUACUUAGUUUAGAUCUGAUAUAAGUCUUGCGAGUACUUUGAAUGAGUACUCACAGUUGCUUUGCUACCUCUUUUUCUCCCAUACCUGUUUGUUGCGACCAGAUGAUGGAUCCCAAGAGCCAGACGACGCCACUGAUGACUACUACUACCCGGAGGAUGCCUACUACUAACUGAAGACCGCAGAUGACUAGGAGUAGUUAGGAGACUCCCAGGCAGGAGGCCUUACCUUUUCGAUCAUUGUUGCUUUUGUGCUAGCCUUCUUAAGGCAAUCUUGUCUAACUUAUGUUUGUACUCAGAUAUUGUUGCUUCCGCUGACUCUUGUGUAUUCGAGCUUAUGUAUUCGAGCCCUCGAGGCCAUUGGCUUGUAAUAUAAAGCUUAUAUUAUUUUAAUUUAUGUCUAGAGUUGUGUUGUGAUAUCUUCCCGUGAGUCCUUGAUCUUGAUCGUACACAUUUGCGUGUAUGAUUAGUGUACGAUUGAAUCGAGGGCGUCACAAGUUGGUAUCAGAGCCGACUGCCUAUAGGAUCCCCCUUUCCAACUCCUUGGCCGAAGUUGAGUCUAGGAACCGAAAACUGUUUUACUAACAUGGCUGUGUGGCUUACGAGCCCACGUCGCCAAUUGGGUGGUAUUAGGAUCUUUUAUUCCUCGUCUAUACACUAGGACUCUGAUCUCUCGUCUAUUCGGGUUAAACAUUUUACUAACUCUGACAUUAGGCUCUCGUACCCACUUCCUCCCGGAGAGCCCCGACAUUAUCAAUGAUCGCUUGCUUUGCCAGAAGAUUCGGAGGUUACUCUAUGAUAUUCUCCUGAGACCCUUGUAUCCACCGCCUUGGCAAAUUCCCUACCACUGUUAUAUCCUUGUUGAUAACUGCAUACACCUACCAUUCUUACAUUCAAUCCCAUUGAUUUUGUUAUUACAAGAUGCCCGGAACUACUCUCCGUUGUUCUAAGAAUUCUUUGAGCUUACUGCCUUGCAGUUCCUUGUCACCUGAAUACCCCUACGGAUAACUUUGUGCACCUAUCGAGUAUCCGCUCAUCCUCAGUUCAUUCAUGUACUUCAGAAAAGUCUUCGUAAUACCAUUCGUUCUUGUGAAAAUCCUGAACAGCCUAUUGUUCUUGAAUUUCUUGCUUGCUUGCAUUAUGGUUAAUACCAUAAGUCUAGUAAUCUUGUUGUCAGCCUUUGUCAUUAUCAUUUUGAGUCCGUUGAUACAAUAUGUUGCGAAUGCUCGCAAUCCUCAAUCAGAUCCUAGAAUUCAUCCUUCCGGCUCAGACGUCAUUUUAACAUGUGCUGAAUCUCGAUCAAUCAAAUCGCCAUCGAUUGUAAACCUAAGGCUAUUCUACCUAUCCACCCCUAAUCAAAGCAUUGCUUCUGAUCCCUUGUCUUGGAAUUCAUAAUUCCUUUGCAAUUGAACUUUGAGUUAGUCAGUUGUUUCUAUAAUCUGAUCUCCUUGCAUUCUUUCUUCCUCUGGUUGGAUAUUGAUGCUCACAUCAGAUCCCUUGUGGACCACCAGAUCCCCCUUUUUCGGAUUUUAUCCGACAACGUCCUUCAUAUUCAAUAAGCUUGUAAGCCUUUCCUCGGAUACAUAAUGCUUUUGAUAAAUUGUAUCCUCCGCUUUCUCAAGCAUGCUCUACUACCGAGCUUGUGUUAUUUAUUCUUGGAAUUUAUAAUAUAUGUUCCUAAGAUGCCCCGAUGGGUUGAACCUAUGCCUUCCCUAAUCUGUGUGAACUCAAAAGUUAUGCGGGUUAUACUCUACUGGCUUUUCGUCAGAUAAAAUUCAAUACAAUAGCUUCAUCAAGAGCGAGAAGUAAAAUGAAAGGUUAUGCAUUAUAGAAGUGGGAGUCGACCCUGAACCUUUGUGUUCAUGCCCACGGACACGAUAUGGAACUUAUCAUGAAAUCUUCUUGCAAGGAUAUUUAAUCAUUUGAAUAUUCUUCCGGUAUCGUAAAUUGGAUCCCUUGUAGUUAUGGUCCCGACCAUAUUUCCUCCUUGAUCCCAUUUACUGGGUAAGUUACAAUUACUUAUCCUCUGCAAAUCAUUCCCCCGUCCAACCUCUACUCCGAUUUACCUUCUGUCAUUACACGUAGUACUUGAUACUGGGAAGCUUUAUACCCCAUCACAUCAUUCCUAGCCUGAUCGGCUAUAUUUUCAUCAUGUCAACUUUUUAACUGUGCUACCUGGUCCUUAUGCCCGGAGCAACUUCCGACGGUGAGCUAAGCUUACGUCGAUCUUCCUCAUCUUAGCAUUUCACCUCGAACAAUAAGCUUGACUUUGAGCUUGUGUCGAAUCCGUGGUUCUCAUAGCCUUUCACUUCAUCCUUCCUUUUCUACUCGAUGGCAUCUUCAUAGAGUCUCUUGACAAAUUUGUCGUGAUCACCGUCAACACUUUGGCUUCUUUAGAGAUGUUAAUUGAAUUCAUGGCUAGAAAUACCAUCCCUGCCCCUCGAUGAUUUGUGAUAUCAUCGAUGACAUCUUGACUUUCUGCCAACAUAGACGUGGUUGUGCUUGGUUAUCCCUUACGUUCUGAGAUAAUCUUGGAAUUGUUUCUCGGUAUCUCUUGAGAUCUUCGAACCCAAUCUUUACUUGACACCAUAUCAUUGUUGCAUCCAACCAUGACUGUGGUAUUCUGAAUAUCAACAAGAACAUCUAAAUCAUAAUACAAAAUGUUUCUCGUUCAAUUACCCUCACACCGUUGUAUGGGUAAUAUCAUGAUUCUUCCCUCGCCCCAUUAUCUAAAUGCUUUUGAACUUGCUGUCCUAUCAUGUAUAUCCUGCUCCGCUUUUCCUUGGGAAGGAUAUACUCCCAACUCUUAUGUGUAAACACAUCUUCCUUUCCAUUGGACUGUUUGAUUUGAUAAUCAUAUUUUUCCUUUUCAUUGGUUUGUUUAACCUUUCUUGUGAUCUAUAUGAUAUAAGCAGAAAUAAAUCCCUACUUAUAAAACACCCCGAUGUACAACCUUGUCAGUGAGACCCUGUUACUAAUGUUGCUGACAUUUCGGCAUCACUGAUGGAUGAGAACUUUGCCUAUUGGUCCGCCUCGAAUUAACAAGCAGGAAAAUGGUUCUCUUCAUCCCUCGCCCAUGGUGCCGAUGUUGUUACCGACAUAACUGACAGACUAUCCUCUGGCAUACCUUGUUGUCGCGACAGGUAAGAUAUCACCAUCCUCCCUACUCUCGAUCGACACUCACCACAGUUCCACAGGAUCGGAACCUGACUCUCCUGUAUAUCCUUGAUUCUGAAGUAUCAUAUGCUCUUGACUUUGUGUGUUAUCACGAGCCACCCUUCGAGAGAUGAUCUAUUCCCGUUGCUCCGAACCCCCUUUUACACUAUGUUCAGGUAUUGAUCGGAUACCCAUUCGUUUGAAACUUCUUAUUGUAACUUCUUACUUUGCUCUUGAUAUUUGCUUAAGUUUUAAUUUGAGAGUUACCUUCCGCCACCUUUCCUGAUGUUAUCUACCAAAUAAGCAACCUUGUAUAGGUCCGUUCUUCCGAAGCUACCCCUUAUCCUUUUCGUAAGUACAUUGGGAUCCCGAAGAAAGUAUGACAGCUUCAUCAUGAUGACCUGAAGCAGAGAAAUGAAGACAUCAAUGUAAUGAAUCGACCUUUUUGAGAAGAGCAACCAAGACCGAAAAGAUCCGUUAGAAUUUCGUAAUCAGAACUUUCCCCUUACCCCACAUCUUAAAUCUCGGGACGAGAUUUCUUGUAGUGGAGGAGAUUUGUAACACCCCGAGAAUCAUGAUACAGUAAUCUCCCUCUAACGGUGGCCAUGUCAUCAUGAUUACUAUGCAAAUUGCCACUAGUGCAAAAUCAAAGUCAAAUUCAAAUUUAAAUCGCUAUGAAAUUAUUAUUUCUUUGAACAGGAAAACUGAAAUGUUCAAAUUAUUCCACAAUUCCCCUGAUCAUUUUUCAUGUUGAACCCAACCUUAUUGACCUACCAAUUAAUCCCUAGGAAUUAAUAAAUGGUCCAACAACAAAUAUUUCAGCCUUUUCAAAACAAACAAAUAUCUAUACAUUUCCAAAUGAUGUGAAACCCAGUGUGUGGUCUUGAAAUGUUGUACUGGAUUUAUAUGCCAAGUCUUAACUCAAACAAAAUUCAAUUGCUAAUUUAAAUAUAUGAGAAAACAUCAGCUGAUUCAAUUGACAAAAAAAAGAACCUAACACUAUGGUGUCGCUAGGCCAUAAGUGGCCACAACGCACAAGGCCCAGCCCAACUGAGGUCAUCCCAACCUCCUGCUACAGGAGCAGGGGAUGCGUGGCGGGCAUCCCACGGCCAUGAGUGCGCCCGGCCAGGUGCCGACCAUCCGUCGUCCUCUUGAGGUAGAUAAGAACCACCCCGAGGCCAUCGACCAACCCAUCUAGAAACUUAGCCGAGCGAAGUCGUCGCCGCCGCCUUCGUCGAUCCCGCGGCCACCGGCCUCCCCUUCCCGCGCCAAGACAUCCAGGAGCUCCUCCAUCGUCGUCUCCUUUUCCCUCGCAUAAGAGCCCAAGCUGGGAGGCAUCGUACGCUCGCCAUCGCCGUCAUCUUCGCCCAUAGCCGCCGCAUCUCGUCGUCGAGUUCUUCGUGUCCGGCCACCACCUCGCUCCCCGACCACGCCAACAAGCUCCGCGGUGAGCACCUCCUCCGAUUCCCGGCUUUUACUCCGUUAAUUUGUUGCCGUAUUGUCAUCCCCAUGAGCUCGAGCGCCAUGGCCGAAACAUCUCGUCCGCGUGCGCCCCCACAUGUUCCUGGUCGCACCCUCGCCAGCCACCCACGCCCGCGCCCGCUGGUGCCUCCACCCCGUGCCCGCACACCGGCCGCCCUGCUGCGCGUCGCUCCGGCCGCCUGAUGCCUCCCGCUGCUAUACUACUGCUGCUUCUGUUGCCGUUGGGCACUACUCCUGUGCCGCUGGCAGCUACUGUCACUUCGGCCUCCUGAUGUUGCCGCUGCCUUGCUUGCUCUGCCCAUUGUCACUCCCGCUAGAAGCCGCCAUCGCUGCUGCUCCUUACCCGCAAGCCCCUGCCUGCGCGCCGGCAGGGCCGCGCCCCGCGCCAUGCCCGCAACUGCGCCUCAUGUGCGCCUGCUCCUUGCGUGCCGCUGCACUGUUCCUUUGCUACUGCCUUGCUGCUACAUAGCUGCCACCGCUGCUCUUACUUCUGUUGCUGCUCAUUGCUUUGCCAUGGUCGUGGUGUUGUGCAGCGUAGUGUGUGUGUGUGCAUGAGUGUGUGUUCUGUGUGUGUGGGGCCGGCCCAAAUACUUGUUUAGGGACUAGUUUAGUUAGUUAGUCUAAUUAGUAGUAUUAGUUAAUUAGUCCAAUAGUAGGUGACAUGUGGACCCAUGGUUAGUUUAAAGAAAAAUAAAUUUUCAGAAAAGUCUAAGUCAAUGACAUGUGGCCCCUUACACUGUUCAUAUGUUGACUAGUCAACAUUUGACUAGGUCAACACAACCCCACUGGUCCCACUGUCAUACACUACGGCUAGAAUAGCACUAGGUGACAAAAGUAUUUUGUUGUUUUAUUUUCGAAUUAAAAGAAUUCUUUAAAUAUAUAAAAUCAUUUUAAACUUUGUAAAUUCAUAUAAAAUAAUCCGUAACUCGGAUGAAAAUAAUUUAUAAAUGAAAGUUGCUCAGAAAAAUCCAACAAAUCCGGAUACACGGUCUGUUCAUCUGUCACAUGCCCCUAGCACGCCGAACAUGGAACCGUCCCCUCUCUUUUCAUCUGUCCAAAAAACUUCAGACGCCUGGAAAACACCUCCAGAUGUUUUCCUUCUCCGUCUGUAGCGUCUAGCACCGUGUUAGUUCACCCCUAACAUCGCGUAUUACCAUGUUAUGCUUUAUGAUGCUUUGUCUGCUUUAUAUUUAUUGUUUCUUCCCCCUCUUCUCUCCGGUAGACCCCGAGACCGAGGCUGCCCCUGUGAUCGACUACGUCGACGAUGACACUUCUUUCUUUUCAGCAGAGCUUUCAGGCAAGCAAACCCUCCUUGAGCAUUCCGAUAUCGCCCAUUUCUUUCCCUCUCAUGCUUGCAUUAGAACUGCUACUGCUUUCUGUAUGAUCCUACUCUGAUGCAUAGCCUGUUGUUGUUACUUGCUUUCAUACCUUACCUGCUUAUCCUAAACUGCUUAGUAUAGGUUGGUUAGUGAUCCAUCAGUGACCCCCACCUUGUCCCAGUUUCCCCGCUUUAUGUUUGAUGACUCGAUCAACGUGAUCGAUGUCCAGGCCCCGACACCGCACAUCACCCCCCUAGUUGUACGACUAUGCAGAGUUACCAUUGAGUGCUGAGGGUGGAACCUCUUACAUCACUCCUGAUGAGAUCUCUAUAGUGUAGCUAUACGGUCGAGGUCAUCGAGGGUGAUUUCCUCCUUAACCACUUCCGUUACGGCUCUGUCAUGCAACCCCUCAAGUGUGAACCUCGAGGAUGGAUCCUCUUACGUUCACCUUGAUGAUAACAUCGACUGGAAUUCACCGGGGGUGAUUCCUCGGGUUUUCCCCUUGGUGUUAGACACACAGUUACUAUGGUUACUAUGACUUUGCACUGAGCCAUGUUACUAAAGACGGGUCGGCCCUGAGGGGUACCCGCGCGAGCUUAAUUGCGAGUGAUGUGGAGUCGGGUUGACCUGGAAGGUGCCCGUGAGAUACUUACGAGGCAUGGCCGGACAUUCUUAGCCCUUGCCGCAAGUACUCGAGACGGGGCGACGGGGUCACAUCGAUCGUGAGUCUCUGCUCGUUACCGUGUGCUCCUAAUCCACUACGGUUUGGAUAUUCGAUCCGAGGGGCUCUGGCCUGAUAGAACUAACCAUCACGUGGGCAUGGUAUGGGUGUUCUGCGUCGUAUGCAUCAGCCGAAGCUUAAUAGACGUCAGUGACUGAGCGGCGCGCGCCGGGUUGGACUGCAUAAGCACCUGCCUUUUUGGAGGUAGCUAGGUCUGCUCACCGACCGCCCACGCAACAUGCAGGAGUUCCCGGGGCGAUGUCCCAUGACCUCUGGGGGCACAGGUUUAGUCCGGCGUGCUGGCCUCUCUAUUAAGCCUAGGUCGGGUUGCGGCAUAUUGUUUGGCCAAGGCCGGGCAUGACCCAGGAAAGUGUGUCCGGCCGGAGUUAAUCGAGCGUGGUGGGUAAGUUGGUGCACCCCUGCAGGGAAGAAAACAUCCAUCGAUAGUCUGUCCUUCGGUAACGGACACUUGGAGUUGUAUCCUGAUCGAUACAACUAGAACUGGAUACUUGUGAUGAGAAAUGGAUAUGAGAAAUGGAUAGUAUGGCUCUGGGAUUGCUUUCUCGCAUGGGAGUCGAGAAAGGAUCUCUGGCCGAGGUUGAUCACACUGCUACUUUACAUUAUGUUGAUCUGUACUCUUCUAUAUGGUGCAAGAUGCUUGAAGAUGUUAGUCUUCGAUAGGCUAGGCUUUCCCCUUCUCUUCUGGCAUUAUGCAGUUUAGUCCACAGAUACAGCCCAUUUCCUUUGAUAGAGAUGCAUACUGUAACGCCCUCGAUGCGGCUAUAUCUCCCACGUGUCGAAGCACGACUUAGAGGCAUAACCGCAUUGAAAGCAAUGUCGCAAGUGAGGUAAUCUUCACACAACCCAUGUAAUACAUAAGGGAAAGAGAUACAUAGUUGGCUUACAAUCGCCACUUCACACAAUUACAUGAAUAAAGCAUUACAUCAUCCAAACACAAUCAAGGUCCGGCUACGGAACCAAAAUAAAAGAAGACUACCCCAAAUGCUACACAGAUCCCCGAUCGUCCCGACUGGGCUCCAGUACUGAUCAACUGGAAAAUGGAACAACAUAAAGGACAAGAUCUUCAUUGAGCUCCUCCUGAGCUUGGUUGCGUCAACUGCAAGAACUCAUCGGCACCUGCAAGCUGGUUUUGGAAGUAUCUGUGAGUCACGGGGACUCAGCAAUCUCACACCCUCGCGAUCAAGACUAUUUAAGCUUAUGGGUAAGGUAAAAGGUAUGAGGUGGAGCUGCAGCAAGCGACUAGCAUAUAUGGUGGCUAACAUACGCAAAUGAGAGCGAGAAGAGAAGGAAAAGCACGAUCGAGAAACUAUGAUCAAGAAGUGAUCCUAGAACAACCUACGUCAAGCAUAACUCCAACACCGUGUUCACUUCCGGGACUCCACCGGAAAGAGACCAUCACGGUUACACAUGCGGUUGAUGUAUUUUAAUUAAGGUCAACUUCAGGUUUUCUACAACCGGACAUUAACAAAUUCCCAUCUGCCCAUAACCGCGGGCACGGCUUUCGAAAGUUCAAUCCCUGCAGGGGUGUCCCAACUUAGCCCAUCACAAGCUCUCACGGUCAACGAAGGAUAUUCCUUCUAGCGGGAAGACCCGAUCAGGCUCGGAAUCCCGGUUACAAGACAUCCACGACAAUGGUAAAACAAGUCCAGCAAGACCGCCCGAUGCACCGACAUCCUGAUGGGAGCUGCACAUAUCUCGCUCUCAGGACAACACCGGAUGAACACUACGUACAGCUAAAACCAACCCUCAAGUUUCCCCGAGGUGGCGCCGCAAGUGGCUCUGUUUCGGACCAACACUUAGACAAGCACUGGCCGGGGGGAGGGGGGGUUAAAAAUAAAGAUGACCCUUGGGCUGGCCUAACCCAAGGGAAAAAAGGCUAGGUGGCGAAUGGUAAAACCAAGAUUGGGCCUUGCUGGAGGAGUUUUAUUCAAGGCGAACUGUCAAGGGGUUCCCAUUAUAACCCAACCGCGUAAGGAAUGCAAAAUCUGGGAACAUAACACCGAUAUGACGGAAACUAGGGCGGCAAGAGUGGAACAAAACACCAGGCAUAAGGCCAAGCCUUCCAGCCUUUACCAAGUAUAUAGAUGCAUUAAUUAAAUAAAAGAUAUUGUGAUAUCCAACAAGUAAACAUGUUCCAACAAGGAACAACAUCUCCAUGUUCCAACAGGGAACAAACUUCACUCUUCACCUGCAACUAACAACGCUAUAAGAGGGACUGAGCAAAGCGGUAACAUAGCCAAACAACCGUUUGCUAGGACAAGGUGGGUUAGAGGCUUGGUUCAACAAUAUGGGAGGCAUGAUAAGCAAGUGGUAGGUAUCGCAGCAUAGGCAUAGCAAAAGAGCGAGCAAAGAUAGAAGUGAUUUCGAGGGUAUGGUCAUCUUGCCUGAAGUCCCGCAAGGAAGAAGAAUGAGUUCAUGAAGAAGACAAAUGGACGUUGUCGAACGGAUCCUCACAAACGCGACGUUACCGGAUUACCGAGAAGAAGUACACCGGAAAGAAAGCAAACAACAAAGUAAACAACCACCACAUAAGCAUGACAUGAUGCACAACCAAGUAUGAUGCAUGUCCGGUUUAAAUAUGCAUGGCAUGGCAAAGUGCACAAGCAAAACUACAAAUUAAAUGGAGCUCAAUAUGCAACGAGUUGCAUAUUGAUGAAACACCACAACAAUUAUUUAGUUCUCUCUUGUUUAGGUACCCAACAAGAUUAAAUGUUGUUAGCAUGGCAAGAGGUGUCACAUGAUGAAACUAUCUAAUCUAGGCAAGUUUAAAUGAGGCCGGAACAACAAAACAACAAGUCCGGAAACUCCUCAUAUGCAUAUAUUAGGUUUGUUACUGUUCUGCCCUAAACAUAAUUUUAGAGUUGUUAAACAUGCUAGGUGAGUGCAUCAUGUUAAACUAGGCAUUUUUCUACCUCAUUUACAUAUAAGGUUUAUUAAAAUCCGAGUUACGGUUAUUUAGUUAUGAAUUAAACCAUUUUAAUAAGUUAUUUGAGAAAAUUAAAACAAAUAGCAUUUUAAACAUUUUAAACAUGCAUGAAAAUUGCAUAUUAUUAAACUAGAUGAAAAUCUAAGCAACUUUCAUAUAUAAAUCAUUUUAACCCGGUGCAUGGAUGAUGAGUUAUUAAAUGCGUGAAACUAGGGGGGGGUUUUUGUAAAUCUGCCGUCACUAGAUUAAAUAGAAAAUUCACUAAAAGAAAAGGAAAUAGAAGCAGGCCGAAUCAGGGACAGGCCCAACAGCGCACAGAAGGCUGGAGGGGUCGGCUCACAUCUCUCCAGGGAAACAUCAUCAUGGCCUACGAGUGCCUUCAUUUUAUGAAGAGAAACAAAGCUUUGAAGCAUAGGAGUUGUGCUUUGAAGUUGGAUAUGAUGAAAGCCUAUGACAGAGUGGAGUGGGAUUACUUGGAAGCUAUAAUGCUCAAGUUGGGCUUCUCGCGGAUAUGGGUAGACAGAGUAAUGAGCAUGGUGAAGUCAGUUUCCUUUUCUGUCCUUUUUAAUGGGAAUAAACUCGAGGUUUUUAAACCUACCAGAGGUAUUCGGCAAGGAGACCCAAUAUCAUCCUACCUUUUCUUGUUAGCAGCGGAGGGCCUCUCAGGCCUCCUCAAAUCCAGAGAUCAGUCGUUGCAAGUUGGUGGAAUUCAGGUGGCCCCCUCGGCGCCUCCGGUUAACCACCUAUUAUUUGCUGAUGAUAGCCUGCUGUUUUUCAAGGCAAAUGGUGCAGGGGCGACAGAGGUGUCAAACCUACUGAACUCUUAUUGUCAAGCUUCAGGUCAGAGGAUUAAUAGCACCAAGUCCUCUAUUUUCUUCAGCAAAGGAUGUCCAGAGUCGACCAGGCAGGAGGUCAAAGGUAUACUCAAUGUGCAAACUGAAACACUUAAUGAAAAGUAUCUGGGCAUGCCGUCUGAUAUUGGAACAAGUAAAACUGGGGCUUUCAAGUAUUUAAAAGAUAGGCUAUGGAAUAAGGUGAAGGGAUGGAUUGAAAAAGCAAUCUCUGCCGCAGGAAAAGAAAUUUUGAUAAAGUCUGUGGCGCAAGCAGUUCCGAUUUUUUCUAUGUCCUGUUUUAAAUUACCGAGGGGGUUGUGUGAACACUUAAAUAAACUCAUCCGACAAUUCUUUUGGGGGAGCAAAGAGGGGAAGAGAAAGCCUCAUUGGGUCUCUUGGCAAACGAUGACACAACCAAAAAAGAAUGGAGGACUUGGUUUUAGAGAUCUUGAGCUCUUCAACCUUGCGUUAUUAGCACGUCAGGCUUGGAGGUUGUUGACUAUGCCUGACUCUCUAUGUGCCAAGUUACUCAAGGCAAUUUACUUUCCGGAGGUAAGCAUUAUGGAUGCAGAAGUGGGCUCUCACCCUUCGCAUGUUUGGCGGUCGUUGAUUGAGGGAAGGGACGUGCUAGCUCAUGGCAUGAUCCGAAGAAUUGGAGACGGGAGUUCCACAGAGGUUUGGACGCAUAACUGGAUUCCCAGGGAUACUUCUAUGAAACCUAUAGCCUGCUUGAGGCCGAACCCACCAAUCCUAGUGUCGGAGUUGAGUGAUGCUGCAAAUGUAGCGUGGCGAUCUGAUCUUCUACAACAGUAUUUCCUACCAAUCGAUAUUCAGUCCAUCACUAAUAUACCACUAUGCACCAUGCCUAUGGCAGAUUUUUGGGCUUGGCAGUUUGAGAAGAAGGGCCCCUUUUCAGUAAGAUCUGCUUAUAGACUGCUAGCAGAAACAAAGAAGAGAGGAGAGGAUUUGCUUCAAGGCCGGGCGUCAGUAUCAAACAUGUCACAGGAGGAGAAGGGAUGGACUACACUCUGGAGUCCUAAGAUCCCUUCAAAAAUUAAAACAUUCUUAUGGAGGCUUGCUAAGCAAUCUUUGCCUACAGAGGAUGUCCGAAAACAGAGGCACAUGAGUAUCAUAGACAAGUGCCAAUUGUGUGGUACUGUUGACUCUUGGAAACACUCUUUAAUGGAGUGCUCGAUGGCGCGGUGUGUAUGGGCACUGGCUGAUGAAGAGAUAGUGGAAGUGAUGGCUGAUGCUACAGAACCUAGUGCCAAACAUUGGUUAUUUCAUGUCCAGGGGUCUUUAUCACAUGCUGAAUUCGUGGAGGUGGCAGUCACCUUGUGGGCGAUAUGGACAGCCAGGCGCAAGGCAAUUCACGAGGAAGUCUAUCAGAGUCCAUUGGCAACGCACAAGUUCGUGAAACAUUUUCUGGCGGAGCUGGAGACCAUCAGUAUGUUGUCCCAGAGGACGCUAUAGAGACCAGCAGUUCGGGCUGUUGUGCAACAACGGACGAAAUGGAUUCCACCGCCAAAUGGAUUCAUGAAAAUCAAUGUUGAUGCAGCACUGUCUGACACGGGUCUAGGAGCGGCAGCAACAGUUUGCCGAGACAGCACAGGCUUGUAUUUGGGCUCGUCGGCAGUAGUGAUUCAAGGAGCUACUGUUCCAGCAGUAGUAGAAGCUAUAGCUUGCCGUGAGGCACUCUCGCUUGCACAUGACCUUUCACUUUAGUAUUUCAUUGUGGCAUGCGAUUGCAAAACAGUAGUUGAUGACAUUCAGAAAGGAAAGGGAGGAACGUAUAUGUCAGUCAUCAAGGAAAUAUUCAUCCGUAGUUCUCUUUUUAAUAGCUGUAAUUUUAUUUUUGAAGGGAGAGCAUCGAACUUAGAUGCACAUAAACUUGCAAAAGAUUCAUUAGCACUUGAUCGGGGUCGCCACCUGUGGCUGAUUCACCCCCAUGACCCCUUAUGUAUCCCUCUUAAUGUCCAACUAGAUGAAUAAAGUUUGGGCAUUUUUCCCAAAAAAAACAUCUCUCCAGGGAGCUGGGCCUUGGCGCUUGUGCUGGGCCAGCCUUGGUGGAUCGAACGAGGAGAUGGUGGGGGUGCGGUCAACGUAGGCGCUGGGCUUGGCUCCUGGUCGUCUCCUCGUAUGGAGGCAGAGCAACGGCGACAGAGGGUGGAAGCAGAGGCGCGACGGCAGGGAACUUGGCGUACGACGGAGCGACGAAACGGGAGGCGGAGCUCGUCGGGGAUGGCGGGAUCCGGGCGCGGGGUCCACGCAUCGGGGCGGCGUGCUCCUUGUUCCCUGCAGUGGCAGAGCUUGUGGACUUGGCGCUGGGUCAUCAUCCUCACACAAGGUCGAAGCAGAGGAGGUGAGCAGGCAGCGGUGGCUGGGAGCAGAACUCCAUCGAGCGGGGCGAAGGGGCGGAUCUGGGCCCUGGACGGCGUUCUCCGGCGGAAGGGGGCGCAGGGGCUUGCGGCUCGGCACGGGGAUUCCCCCAUCCAUGGCGGCGGAGCUUCAUCCUGGGGCAGAGAGGAACAAAGAGAGAGUUGAGAGAGGGGGAAACGGGAGGAGCACGGGAAGGUGGAGAAGGAGGGGGGCGGCCGGCGCUCAUCUGGUGGCUGCUGGUUCGCUCGCCGGCAUGGAGGUUGACGGUGACGCAGGGUCGAGGGGCUCCUCCCCUCGAUCCAAUCGAGAGCGAGGGAGCAGGGAGCAGCACGAGAGGAGCUCGGGGUAGGGGCGCGCGGGAGCAGGGGCUGGAAGGCUCCUGGUGGCUUGCGUGCUCGCGAGGGCAAGGCACUGCUUGGAACGAGGAAGAGAAGGUGAGAGGUGGCGGUGGAUCCGAGAAGGAAAACUGGUUGGCUAGGUUGGGGGGAUCUGGCCGGGGAGAUCCCAAGGGGAAUUUGGUGUAGGUGGCGGCUGAGGGGGACAAGCGACCUAGUUUUUAGGGUUUGUCCCAAAAGACUAGGAGUGGAGUAUAUAUAUAUACCUCAAAGACUAGGUUAGGGGCUACCUUGACCCUACGAUCGCAAUCGGAUGAUUGCAGAUAAAAUAGCUAGGGAGCCCAAUUAACAAAACGGAGAUGUUUUGUAGAUGUUUGGGGAUGAUCCGGACACGACGGUGACGACUGCUCGGGUCGGGUCCGGGACAAUUUUCGGACGCGCGCGAGGAGGUUCGCGGGCUGACGAGAGAGCUUCAGCUAGGCCUGGCGGUAGGUAGUGAGCUGUGUAGACGGUCUCGAGCUGAGAGAAGAGAAGAGAGGGAGGCCCGGCGAGUGUUUCCGAAGACCGAAAACGUCCGACGUUAGACCGACUAUAUUGCUGCUAUAGUUAUUCGUUGGGGCGUCAAACGAACUCCGAAUGCGAUGAAACUUGACAGGCGGUCUAUCUGCGCUAUAAUAAGACCACAGGCCAACUUUCAACCCAUUCUGAGAACAUUUUCCCGCCACUUAUAAAAUACUAUUUCGGGCAUGCCGCGGGCGCGUGGAAGUGUGGUUGGGCUCAGUACGGACAAUGGACAGAACGAGGAGACCGGGACAGAUGCAAGUUUUUAAAACAUGAUGAUGCAAUGCACAUGAUGACAUGAUAAGAUGCAACACGCAAGCAAAUGACAUGGCAACAACAGCGAAUAACAGGAAGACACCUGGCACAACGGUCUCGGGGCAUCACAACACUCCACCACUACAAAAGGAUCUCGUCCCGAGAUCUAGAAUGGCACCGGAGGGAAAACGGAAGAGAAAGAGAAGAGGUAAAACUAAGUUGCUUCUUUGACAAACGAGUGAAACCAAAGAACCUUGAGAAGUUGAACAAAUUGAAAGAAAGAAUGUAAUGGAGAUGAACGAAGUUGAAAAUACUCCGUUAGAAAAGAGGAACAAGGAAGAACAACUUCGGGCAGCACUUCGAUUGAAAAGAAAAGGAAUUGAAUAAGAACUUGGUAAGAUGAGAAGAUACUUGAUGAAAUCACAACACACUGCCUCCGGAACUGUUGAAUGAAUGGAACAAGGGGUAAGAAAAAUCUCAGAUAGCACUCCGGUUGAAAAGAGAUGCAAGGCUUGAUAAGGCGAAAAGAACUUGAGCAGAAUGGCACCACACUCCGGUUAAAUGGAUAGGCAUGAAAAGAACAUGAUCUUGACAAACAAGAUGAUGGAUUGAAGAGAGCAACAUCACCAUGCCUCCGGAACAAAAGAAUAGACGAUAAAUAAUUGAAAUAAAAGAAUGGAGAAUAAAAUGCCGACUUCUGCCACAAAAGAGCUUGAAAGGCAUCUUUAGUAGAAGGGUCGAACGGAGUUGUUGGAAAACCCAACAACGAAAAGAGCAAGGUUGUAGUGGGCUUAUGGAAAACCUCUCAAAACUGAGUUGAAAUUCUGCCACUGACGGAAACGAUAGAUUGGAUUGAUAUCAACAAGGAGAUGAGAAAGCUUAUUUCACCGGAAGGAUGAAAGAAGAACUUGGGUCCUAUAUGAGCACCAUAAAUAGCAACAAUCCUUAGGGACGGUUUUAGGUGAAAUAUAGCCUAAGAUAAUUCCAAUGAAGAGGUUGAUGGAUUUAAAAUACCCCAUUCUUAACAACAUGUGAAUCAUGAGCCAUGAACUCAAAUUAUCAAGAAUGACAUAAUACCACCUCCAAUAAUAUGGUAAAAAGAAUUGUACUCCGGAUUGCAAGAUGAAGAAUGCUUGAGCUCCUCUGAAAAGAAUGUUGAUGAACACUUCGAGAAGAAAUUGAAUCCUUGAUCAACCAUCAGGUAAAACCUCCUUGGAGAACUCCGAUAAGAAAAGAAUGAACAACCAAAAUGAAGGAUAAAAGAAUAAGGUUGGAGCCUUGCAAUGAUUUAGAUGGAUCUUCGUGAUGAUAUAAUUGAAAUAACUUUGAGCUCCAGAAAGAAAGACGAGCACUUGAAACCAAGAAUUUAAUCAUCGUGAACAAACUCCGGAAGAAAAAAUUAACAUAUGGAUGAAACAAGAAUAAGAAUUAGAUUAUGCUUAACCUUCACCAAUUAAAUUGAUGACAAACAACGGAUUUGGCAUAUUACUUAUUCUCGUAGAAAAGAUUAAGAUAGAUAUAGCGUCAAGUUGGGAAGGUCUUCGACAAAUCCACCGGUAGGAUUGAAAACAACAAAUGAAUUGAUACGAUGACAAGGAAGAGAACUCUUAAGAAAACCACCAUAAGAAUUGAAAAUGAACGAAGUAAAGGGAUGAAUCACCGGGAAGAAUUAUAAAAAGCACGAAGAUACUUGAGAGGAUUUGGAUACAAGGGAACGGAGAGAUCAUGAAUUGAUUAAAGAAUAUUUGAAUGAUGCACCGGUGAGAGCUGCCAGCUGAAAUGAAUAAUAAUGAGAUGAUGGCCUCUUAAGAAUCAAACUGAAAAGACUCCUGAAUUUGUACCGGAUAGGUGAAAAGAAUUCCCAUAAUCGAAAACAAUUAUGAGAGGAUGACAACAAUCUCGAAUGACGAAUCUUGAAGAGAAUGGAGCAAGGUUGAAAGAAGAAUCUUCUUCGGUCUUCCAAACUAAGAAUGACGACGAGAAAUACCAUCAUGACUUAUUUAGGCACUCCGGAAGAAUCAAAACGAAGAGGUUGAGCCAACGAUGAAAAGAAUUUGAAAGAUCUUGGAGAAAAACAUUUGACUGAUGACAAAUCGUUCUUACGCCAAACUUCGAAAAGAAAAUUGAGGAUAGCUCCGGGAAAAUAAAAAGAGCCAGGUAAGAUCCUGGGAAAAGACCUGUGGGUUAUGGGCCCACUGAAAAGAAACACCGUUGAAUGAUUGCUUGAAAAGAGAGAUUGCACCGGUUGAAUUAAAUGGCCAGUAUGAGAUAACAACCUCGAAAGAGCUUGAAAGGAUUACGAAAGCAGAGUGGAAACACGAAUCUUCGAGAUAUCUUGAGCACUCCGGAACAAUAGAAUAACGAGCGUAGAAUGACUGAAUAUAAGGUGCACCAGCAUGAGAAGGCAUUGAAACGAGGAACAAGGGAUAUGAGAUCAACACCGAAAGCUUGAUUUGAAUCCACCG